rnacentral:lncRNA from 1 species
AUUUAUGGAGGGUGCAUAAGGAUUUCCUUAUGCACCAUAACCGCAGCCAGACGAAGGGGCAUGUCUCAUUUUAGAUGUCAGUUUGCAUCAGAACUAUCCGCUCUUGCUCAUUUUAAUUGUCACAUGUAGGUUUCGUGCAGUUCUUAAGAAAAUGAUUAGUUCAGUUGAUUUUAAUGGUAGAAUUAAUAUUAUUUACUAAAACACUUUAUUAUUGUAGUUAGUAGGAUAAUUAAGUGGAGUGAAAUUCAAUAAAUUAAUGGAAAAUAAUAAUAAAUUAUGCAUUUGACAUUAUAAAAUGACAAUUUUUUUGAUAAAAAAAAUUAAAAAGUGAUAAUGAAAAUGAGACCAGGGGAUUUGGGCUCUUUAAACAAGUGGUUAGAGGUUCGAUUUCUUUCUCAUGUGUAUGAAAAAUGUCCGAUUGGGAGGGGAGACUCCACCUUGUGUGCCUGACAGGUUCACCGACUGAGAUUAGUCAUUAUUAAACGAGACCGAUGUGGUAACAAAAAAAGAGACCGGGAAAGUAUUCACUAUUCUUUGAAAUAAGCCAAAACAAAUGGAUUAUGAUGAAUUGAGUAGAUAGAGAAAGUCAAACACAUUUUGGGAUUGUUUGGUUAUGUGGUAAGUUGAAUUGAUUUCAUAAAAUAGUGAGUUGAACGUAAAGUGAUUUAUGUUGAAAUAUAUUCGAUUUGUAGUGGAUUUCACAAUAAAUUUAAGGCAAAAAUCAAUUGUAAAAGUCAAAAUAUAUAAAUAUUUUGCUUAGAGAGCACUCCACGAGUGAAUAAGGUGAUUGCAUCGUUCCCAUGCAUCACGAUUCAAAUCUUCAAGAUCAGGAAUUGGAACUGCGCCAUUGAUGAACACAAGCUUGUUUUUCGCGCCAAGAGCACGUUGCAUGGAUCUACUCCAAGCCAAGUAAUUCGAACCAGUAAGAAGAGGAGUGACAAUAACGGAGUUUGGCCCUUCACUAGGGUGAACAUAGAACACUGAAUCAGUGUUUUGUUGAGGUGUUUGAGAAGUUUGACCUCGCGCCAUUGAUGAAGAAGAAGAAGUGCAGAAAGUUGAAAACAGAGUAUAGAAGAAGAAGAAAAAUAGUGAAUAUACAAAGAAUCAAUGGUGAAAUCGCGUGAAAACGCAAGAAUUUCAACCAGAAACGAAGAAGAAAGCAAUGAAUCGCAGCGGAAUCAAUGGAAGAAAAACGGUUAGGAUCAAAAAACGGUUAGGUUCAGAACCACUCUCAAAGAGAGCUCUGAUACCAUAUUAUGAAACAAUAGAAAUGAGAAAAGAAUCUUCAUUAUUAUGUAAUAGAGAGAGUACAAUCAGUAUAUAUAGCUAAUCUAAUUGUACUACACUACUCAAGUUCUACUACACUGAUGGAAAGUACAAUACAAAAUGAACUAUAGAGAUUACUUGCUCUGCAAGUUAUUGUCCUUAGUGUUAUUUCUAUCAUCUAUUUGUGUAGUGUGUGAUACUUAGCAUGUUUCAAAACGACAUAUGACUAAUUCACCGAUCUUGUUUGGAGUUUGUUAUGCGUAAUGAGAAUGUCUUAUCAGUGACCCCUUGGAAAGUAAAGCUUUGGAUUUAGACACUCAGAAUUUCAUUGUUGUUAGAUAUGAAUCUGUUUUAUGAUAUGCCAUUUGACAAAUCAAAUCCUACUUCUCAUGUUUCUGUGCGGUUUUAGCUUUGGACUGUGUUUUUCUCACGCUUGAUGUUUGAUGUUUGUAUGUAUAGACCUCUAGACAUGCUCUCUGAUUGUUUGUUUUAUCUGUCUCAGGUCACAAGGCCAGUGCUGUUUCCAUGUUCCGGGGUACUGCAUAAAGAGAAGCUUGUUUAAUUGCAAUCAUCACAGAUGUCGUGGUUUAACCAGGUGCUUUCUUCUGUGUUUUCUUUAAGAUUUAAGAUAACCUUCAUUUCUGAAAUUUCAGUUUGACAUCUGUUCUUGUAGGUUUAAUACUUUUUUUUUUCGCUAAUACCAUGCGGUUUUGAUUUAUAGCAUCUGAUUGAAAAACACAGUGUUUGUUUCUUUCCUUAUGCAGAACUACUAUUGUAAUACACCUCUCAAUCAGGAGAAAUGAGAUUGUUCAAAACUUUAUUCGUUAAUAUUUUGGUUUACUUGUUGCUUGUAAGGACUAUGAGGAUUAUAGGUUUUGUUGAUAUUGAUAUAUUUGAUAUACAUGAAGUGAAUUGAAUCGCUUCCUUUAUGCGUUCAUGUUAAUUCCAUAGGAUUUUAGUGACUUCUGAUUCUACUUAACUCUGAACAAACUACGAAUGAAAAAAUAAUUAACGGAUACAAACAUGAAUUAAAUCUACAAAUAGCGAUCCAAAUUAAGAUGUGCUGGAAUUGGAUAAUCAUAACCUCAAGUUUGUUAGUAGUCAAUAUGAAUAUAUCCUUUGGACCUUUAAAAUGUUUGUUUCUUUUUUGGAUUCAAACUUUUUCUUGAGUCCAAACAUAUUUUCGAAUCUUCUAUAAAGUGAACGAUAUUGUCAACUAUCUAGGUGAAACAAUAGUUAGGGUUUCUUCAUCAACAGAAUUAUCCUUAGAAUUUUUUGAACUUUGAUCUUCAUUCUUCGACUUUCUGCCAAUGGAAUAUGCUGGUUGUGUGGGUUUUGGAAGGUCUACUGUGUCACUCCCUAGCAUGCGAACAACGAUGGACAUCGUUGGCCUAUCUGCUGCGUCUUCUUGUACGCACAAUAAACCAAUGUGAAUACACUUCAUGACUUCACUCUCAACAUACGUUUUUUUGUGGAAUGGAUCGAUUAAUUCUAAACUUUUUCCUUCACACCAGAGUUUCCAAGUCUGCAAACGAAUAUGGAUAUUUAGAAACUUGAGUUGAAACAUUUUGUCAGAUAAUGUAAAAAUACAUUAGUGUGUUCAUGGCAUUUGGAUAGUUGGCUCAUAAUAUGCUAUUAGAGCCUUUAUAAUAGGGUAGGAAAGCGUGUUUAUACAUUAUCAAUAUUUCAUAUUCAAGAGACUCUCCUUUGAAGGCAAUGUUAGUGAUUUCAUAAAACUAUAAAACAAUUUUUGGCUUGGAAUACUUGAGCAUUUCCUCUCUCGAUCAAGUAUCAAUUUGUUAAUGAGAUGUGAUAAGGAAAACUUACAUAUAAUAGAAGACUUUGCAUAUGUUCUGAAAGAAAGAAGUCUCCAUUUCUUUUUCCAUAAAUUAUCUCUAACACAAGAACUCCAAAGCUGAAAACAUCGGAUUUCACUGAAAAUAACCCAGCCAUAGCGUAUUCUGGAGCCAUGUAUCCACUAUAUAUAUAAAAUCAAGAGAACAAUGUCAGUUGUGAAUCAUGUAAAUUUUUCUAACAUAUUUGUUUUAAAAGAGUUUUCAAUAACCCGUACUAGGUGCCAAUAACUCUUUUUGUCUUUGUAUGACAUUGAUCUUUUUCAAAUGCCCUUGCUAAUCCAAAAUCAGAUAUUUUUGGAUUCAUUUCAUCAUCCAGAAGAACAUUGCUCGCUUUCAGAUCUCUGUGGAUUACUCUAAGUGGAGAAUCCUCAUGAAGGUAUAGAAGUCCUCUUGCGAUUCCUUUGAUAAUGCUUAGUCGUAGUUUCCAAUCUAGAUGCUUAUGUUUUUCUUCAUCUGCCAAGUUGAGGAACAUCGUAUUCAUGUUAUUUAGAGUCAAGACUACCAUUAACUUUUUAACAGGGAAAAAUCACGGGAUAUUAUAUGUUAAUUUAUAUUCCACAAUGCAAAAUGUUCCCACAGUUACGAUUUGUUUUUAAGUUGUUUCAAUUUUUGUUUUAGUCUCAAACUCCAAAUCCCUUUGUACCCCUUACCACCUUUACUGAUGUAUAUACCAGAAAUUUUAUUAAUUAGAACUAAAUCGGAGUAAGUAAAGGAAUAUAAAGAUGAAAGAAAAUGGGAAGGUUUGUCUAAACAUACUGAAAAGGUGAAAGUUAAGGCUUGAAUUUGGCAUAUACUCAUAUACUAGUAUCUUUUCAUUUUCUUCAAAGCAGCAACCUAAGAGUUUCACAAGGUUUCUAUGUUGAAGUUUCGCUAUGAAAAUUACUUCAUUCUUAAACUCCUCUAAACCUUGACCUGACGUUUCUGAAAGCCUUUUGGCUGCAAUUUCGGUCCCAUCUGGUAAAGUACCCUAACAAAAUUGAACGAAAACAGAAUAGGAACAUGUCAAACUUAUACGGCAAAACUAUAUAAAUGCAUUUCUUGACUUCUAGAUCCAAUUAAUUAAUACCUUGUAAACUGGGCCAAAUCCACCUUCUCCUAAUUUAAAUGACUCCGAAAAGUUAUCGGUGCUUUGUUGAAUUACAGUUAAAGGGAUUGUAGGAAGAUCUCCAUUGAAUGAAUCCUCUCUUGGAACAUGGUCACGGAAAGACUUAGGAGUAAUGGUCCUUAACAGCAAACCACCUGACAAGGAAGUAGUAUGUCUAAAUAGUGACUUUUUUUCAUAGGUAAUUUUGCGAAAUAAGCGUAUAGAACUUUCAAAAUGUAUGUUACCUUUAUUUAACCUAUUUUUUCUCCGGUAGUAAUAGACAGAACAACUUAGUAGAGCUACUGCCACCAGUACACUUACUAAGAUGAUGAUCAAGGUUUUGGUAUUACUCGCCCCGUCCUGUUUGCCUGCAACACUAUCAUAUAUGAAAAUGUUGCAUUUCGUUUCUCAAUUUUUAGGUCGAAUCCUUUUCAUCCUAUAAUAUACUAGAGAUUCUUUGUCUUUCAAUGCAUCAGAAUUGGAAAAGUAGAGAGUGAAAGGUUUACAAUUAAGCAAUUAUACAAAACUUGAUUAACAUAAUUUGCAAUUUCUUGUUUGUUGAAAUAUUAGACCUUCCAACGUGGUUCCUGCAUGAUCUGUUGAUAAUAAUUAUACGAAACACGAGUCCUAAGUUUCAAAAAGAAUGUAAUUAUAACAGAAUUUUUUGGUGAUAUUUUUUGUGUUGGAUGUUUAUCAUGAAAUAGAAGUUUCAAGAAACAAGAAUGGCUAAUGCAGAAUAGAUGUUUAUCAUGAUUGCAGGGACCGCACAAAUCUUCAUUGAGAUCUUCGCAAUCUUAAGACAAGGUAUAUCACGCAAGUCUUCAUUGCAAUCAUAAAAAAUGUCUCCGAAAACCAUGGGACGCUUUUUCUUUUUCGUGACUAAACUUGGUAACAAACAUUAUGAUUUUUAAAGUUUCUGCAUUCACGACGUUAUCCUGCAAUUCAAUACUUGAAAGGAAUCCGAAUUCAAGAAAUGAUAUUACCUGGAUUUGGCAACGAAGGAGGCGAUUCUGUUUGGAAGUUGUAGAACUUAUUAUCAUCAAUCUCCAUUCCACAACUAGGAGACACCACUGCCCAUUUUACCUUUGUUCCACAACAUUGAGGAACUUUAUCCAACAUAGUUUCCAAACAAUAUCUGCACCCGUCUUUUGUAAGGUCACUAUUACACUGCACCCAACCAUACCUUUUCUCGGUGUCACUCCAAUCGAACUCUCCCACUGCCCAAUUGGAAUUAGCUUCUGCCGUCACUCUUCCUAUCAAAUUCCUCAUGUCAUCUACUGCUUUCUCAAGUUCAGUUGAGUCCUUCGUGUUUUUGGUUCCGGUUAAAUUCCAUGAUGGGGUAACAGAAAUUUUUCCUGAUGUAUUAUGGUCAGAAUAACCGAUGACACAUAUGUCAUACCAUAUCAUAGCCGAGACGCCAUUGGGACAACAUUGAGCGAUCGCUCUAACAGCAGCGUUGAUACAAAAUUGACAGAAACUUCCUGUUACGUCACCACGACAAUCGUAGAAUCCAUACACAACAUCACCAUCAUUAUCAUUGCUGUUAGUUUUGUUGCUGUUUAUGGCUAUGUGGUUAGAUACUGAGCCUGUUGCAGAAUCAGUGUUUAUCCAUAGAAGAAGAUUUCUAACGUUGGAUCGGUAUGAUGUGUUGUUUGUUUUUUCUGUUGAAUUCUGGCAAAAAUUUAACCUGUAAUAUGGUGAUUGUGCAUUUGUUAAGGUGAAGAGAAAAAUAUGAAGUAGAAUGAAGCUUAGAAACCUUGCAGUACAAGUCAUGUUCAUUUGUGACAUGUUUAUGGUUAAGUUUUUACUUUCAACUAUUUCCCAAAACAGUAGGGAGACAUAUAUGUAUGUUAACAGAAAAGUUUAUGUAUUCUGUGCUGCUGAAAAACACUUAGUACCAAACACUAUUUAGUCAAUUAUUGUAUUUUAUUAUGUGCAAAUUUUCUACUUCUGUAUCUAUUCAAAGCAUCACAUGUAAAGAAAAUUCAGAUAUUACUAUAUUAGGAUUAGCUAUGAAGCACGGACACUUCUCGGAUUAGGCGUGUCCCGGUGUCGGAUUCGUGUCGUGUCCGACACCAACACGACACCGACACUUAUAAUUACACUAAAUUAUGUGAUUUUUUCAAAUUAUUAGUUGUGUCGGCGUGUCAGUGUCCGUAUCCAUGCUUAAUAGGGAUUAGGAUAUGAUUAGUCAACUACAUAUUGAUAAAUUAUUUCAAUCAAAGAUUGCAAGUUUGGUCAAUUUUGAAUUAUUGUGUUUCAUUUGGAAUAAACCAAAACACGUGGGUUGAACAAGUACGCACAGAUUUCGUGUUAAGCUUCCUCUCCUUGCCACUAGGUAAGUAAGUUAGCUAUGAAAUCAUUGAUUUACUGUGUAGGAACUUUACAAAAUUAAUGAAGAAGUUAAUGAAUUUUAAAAUGAUAUCUUGAUACUAAAAAUGGAUUUAUAAAGUUUUUUACACUAUAAAUCAAUCAUAACGGUUAGGUUAUAUAAAUUGUAUGACCUUAAUCAUAAUUAGUUUUAAAGUUAGACAUACAAAUUUUUUUUUUUUUUUUUGAAAAUUCAGUAUUAUUGUUAAGGACCGAUUAAUUUAACGGGUUGAAUUCCACCGUUCACUUGUGGAAGAUUCCAUUUAAAGUCAAUAGUAUGAACCAACCCACUAUCAUUCAUGCACAUCUCCACUAAUUUUAUGCAUGUAUCCUAGGCACAUAUUCUCGAUAUGUAUCCACGAAUAUAGUUGUCGUAUCUGAAAUGUAUACGAUAACAUAUUUUUUAAAACAAAAUAAAUAUUUUGAUACUUCUAGUCUCUAGGGUGUGUGUUCACGAAGUAUAUAUAUAUAUAUAUAUAUCAGUAAUAUACUAGUAAUAUACUUCUUGGGUGUGUUUGUGAAGUAUCAAUAAUUCUAGGGUGUGUGUUCAUGAAGUAUCAGUAUCCAAGUAAUUUCAUACAUGUGAGUUCGUGAAGCAUCGGACACCAAUAAUAUAUAAGUAAUAUGUAUAUGCUGAUACUAAUACACCUGCAUUUUAAAGUAUCGAGGCUUUAUAGAUAUUUUAAUUUUUUUGAAGGAUUCAUAGAUUUUUAAUGUCACUUUUAUAAUGUCAAGUAAAUUAUUAAUUUUUAUUUUUUAUCCUUAACUAUUUUGGAUGUUUAUUCACUAAGAUGUAAUUUUCCCUCUUUAAGGUAAUAUUUUAACACGAAAGACAAUAAAAAGUUUAUUAAGAAACAAUUAUUUUUAUUUUUCAAAAUAUUAUGAUAUUAUUUAUAUUUUAAGGGUUAAUUAUUCAAAUUGACACAAUAAUAUACGCAAAGUCUGAAAAAUGACCAUGAACAAAGAAAACACAGAUUUUAACCCUGUGAUUCUUCGUAUUUUUGACCUCAUAUUUUUCUCUAUAUACAUAGAGGUAAAAAAAAAAGUGACAUAAAGGUUGAAUUUCUUCUUAUUUUUUGUAGGCAUGUCUUGGCCAUUAAAAAAUGACUUUCCACAUAAAAUUUCAAUUUUUCGUCAAGGGGUGAAUUAAUCUUGAAUUUUUAAAGCGCCAAAAAAUCAAAAAACUAAACAAUGAAAAUCUCGACCUACAAGUCGAAUUUCAAGUUGAUUUUUUGCAGACACCUCUAUAAACACCCCUUCACCAAUAAAUUUUGGAUUUUUUUUAUUUUUGUAGUCAUGUUACAAUAUCAUAAGAACCUUCACCAAUAAAUUUUGGAUUUUUAGAUGACGGGCCAAUUAGUUAUGAAACUUCAUUCCCCAAAAUUAUGAAUUUCUUAAACAAAUCAUAAUUAAUUCAUCCCUCAUUUAAAAAUUCCAAAUUAUUUUGGUGAAUGUUCUUAUGAUGCUGUAACCAUGGCUACAAAAUUAGGGAACAUAAUUUGACCAGUGAAUGGUUGUUUAUUUGAAACAAAAUUGCAAUAUUGCACAUUUUGGUUCAAAAAUCAAAAUAAAUUGAGGCAUAGUUUCAAUGCUACAAAACUUUUCAAAUCCUCUCUAUGCAUGUUGAUAGACUUGCAUGCAAAAAUCAACUCAAAAUUUGACUUCUAAGUUGAUAUUUCAGUUUUUUGUAUUUUAAAUUUUUGGCGCUUUAAAAAUUCAUAAUUAAUCUGUCACCUAUCUGAAAAUUAAAAUUUUAUGUGUAAAGUAAUAUUUUCACGUGCUAAACAUUCCUUAAAUAAAUCAUUAAAAAAAAAAAAACUUCAACAACUAGGUCACUUUUAUGAACAAGAUCAUAAAAGAUAAUCAUAUUUUUAAUUUACAUGCAAAAAAGCUUCAACUAAAUACUUAUUUUGUUUCCACACAAGAAAUUUCUUUUAAUUUAACCAAAAGAUUUGGGUUCGAAUCUAAUCAUUGAAAUGUAUCACCGGUAAAUAUCUUGAGGGAGAGCUUUGACAUAUGUUGGGGUGCUAUCCAUAUCGAGGGAUUAAUAUUUACCGUUUCUCCUAGAAGAUAUUCGGUUCAUAAAAAAUAAAAUAAAAAAAUAAAAUAAAACUUCUUUUUUCUUUAUUGGUGAGUUACUUGACGUUGUGUAUUGAUGUGAUUAUAAAAUUAUGUAAUUAUUGAAAUAAUGAUUAUUUAAUAAUGUGAAUAAUAUAUAUAUAUAUAUAUAUAUAUAUAUGAUCAAUGAUGUUUUCUGUAUUUAAUAUCCGAGUCUAUUCAUUAUGUUUAUGCGAUCUUCUUAUAUUGAAUAUAUAUUCACCCCGAUUGUGGAUUGAACGCAUGUACCCUUGAUUGGUACAAAUAUUCAAGACGAUGAUUGUUAGAUAAUGUCAGCUUGGAGUACGAUGAGGAGUCUUUCUCUUCAACCCAACUUUUCAUCAUGAGUCUUCCUCUUCAUCCAGACGACUUUAAGUAUUGCCGACUGGCCCCACAAACCAACACAAGUCUUUUCAGUGUGCUUUGUCCUCACUCGCACACUUUUCGGGAAACUUCCCAGAAGGUCGCCCAUCCAAAGCCUACUCCAAGUCAAGCAAAUUUAACUGUGAGUUCUUAUGGAAUGUGCUACCGAAAAGAAGAUGCAUCAUGUUGAUAUAUGUAGUACCAAACAAUUUUUCUAAGCAUUCCUUCAACCAUGUUGUCUCAUUCUGAUGUGAUUCGGUUUUUCUAGAAGUUUCCAUGAGCCACUAAUUAUCAUACCUUGUGCAUUGGCGACCACUCCCCACCCUCGUCAUCCUUCGGGCGUUUCAAAAAUCGAAAUCGAAAUCCUUGCCAUGAAAAGCUGUGUUUGAAUCAAAUCAAUGAAUGAUUGAAUAAAUUCAAUAGUGCAAAAAAUAGAACUUUGGUUGACAUGAAGAUUGAGUAGAAUCGAAAGAGCAAUUUCAGAAUGAAGAUUGAAUCGAAUAAAAACCUUAUAGGCAAAGGUUUGAAUUGAUUCAAAGUUUUCAGAAGUGAAAUGAUACGAUUAAAAGAACCUUGAUACGAUUCAACAAACACAAGUCCGAAAUCAGAGGCAAUGAGUGAAUCGAUUCAACUUCUGCAAAGCAGCCAUUUGAAUCGAAACAACGACUUUGCACAGGAUUCAAAUUUUCCAAGAAAAAAUUGAAUCCAAUAAAAGUUUUAUAAAAGGAAUUUUUUUAUAAAACUUGGAUACUUUUGAUAGAGGCUAACUAGGAUGCUUUUACAAUUUUAGUUAAGAAAAUAAAGAAGAACAAAACAUCAACCUAAUAAUCGUCAAAACCUAGACUAAGAUACCAAUUAAGCAAUUGAAGGAGCAACUGCAAUGAGACACAACACUAGAAUUAAGAAUGAUAGCAACCACUGGUCCACUACCUAAGUAAAGGUUCUAUUAUUUCUUUCAACUUUACCAUUAAUAUCUGGAGAAUAAGGUGUGCUAUUUAUAAAGCUCGUUGAAAUUGUGUGAACAAUAUUCAGCGUCUCUGACAUAUAGAUAAGUAAAGUCAGAACGGUCAUCUAAAAAAGCAAUAAAAUAUCAUUUUCCGUUUCUAGUAAAGUUAUCAUCCAUCCAACUUGCAUAUAUGUAUUAGAUCUAGGCUUUGUUUGGAUUGAUGGCAUAUGGUGGAAUGGAAUGGGAUGGAGUGGUAUAUAAUAGAGUUCCAUUGUUUGGAUAUUUAAAAAAUGAGUGGAAUGGAGUGGUAUAGGAUGUAAUCCAUUCCAUCCCAUUCCAUCAUCUUCCUUUAUUUUCAUUCCUCCCAAUUUGGGGUGUAUAGGAUGGAAUGAGGUCUAUUAAUUUGACAAUUACCUUUUUAACCCAGUUUUUUUUUAUUUCUAAUUGGUAGCCACAAAUUUCCGAUUGAACCCAAUUUUUUAUUUAAUUACACACGUUACCUCUGUUUUCCCUAUUUUUUCAUGAGUUCAUGUCGAAUUAUACCCAACAACAUCAAACUCUACAACACUGUUCUACGUAACACUAGACAGUCCAAUACAUCAAAAUCCUUUCUACAAAGCCAAACUACUCAUGAAAAUCAAUGAAAGUUCAUUAUAAUUAAAUAAAAAAGUGUAAAAAACGCAACGAACGGAGAUGGUGGGGGUAACGUGAUGGACAAAUUUUUCAAACAAAAUUAAAACUUUUUUGCUACUAUUAUUUUUGUUACUAUUUUAUUAUAACUAUACAAUUUUAUAUAUGAUACUAUUUUUAAAUAAGGGUAAAAAUGGAAUAAACAAGUUUGUUCCGUUCCGUCGUAAAAUGAGUUCUAUAAAAUACCCAAACAAUGGAAUGGAAAUUCCAUCCCGCUCCGUUCCAUUCCGUUCGUUUUAAAAUAUUCAAACAUAGCCCUAGAGGUUCAGAUUCUCUAAUUACUUUUUUAUGUGAUUGUUUGGCUAUUUUAGCUUGUUGCUUUGGCGGUUAGGUGUUUUUUGAGUGUCUAUGGGUGCGCUGGUUUGAUUCUCCUUAAAUAUUUUAUUAAAUAAUUGUUUCUUUUAAACGAACUAAAAAUGAAGAAAAAAAAACGCGGCUAGCAAGCAUUUGAACAAGAAACAUAAACACCAUUGGUAAUUCAGGCGCAUCAUAUAGUAUAUAUAUUUUUUUUGAAUCAGCAAAUAUUAUUAAACGUCAUCCUGCAAGACGCAAGGUAUGGACGGAACAAGAUACAAAUGGUGCCGCAUAUAGACGGUAUACCAUAACCACCAAAUAAAACCCCUGAAGAUAAAACCACCAAAACACAUCACCACCUAAGACAGACACCUUAACAGAAACAAAACAAGGUAAACACAAAAUCCACAACCACUCAUCGCCACUACUCACUCCAAAAGAACACUCCUCAAAAUAAAACUCCCAGACUUCAACAUCCGAGCUGAGCCACAUUCGAAAAGCUCCUAACCAAAUGAACAAGUUGUUUCCACAACCUCUCGACCUCUGAUCCACUGAAAGAGCACAAAACAAAAGCCCAAAAACCAACAUAAGUCAAAGAGCUGACUCCCGAUCUCGAAUCAAAAGUGAUCAGCCCACCAGACUUUAGAACCAAAUCAGCAGGGCACCCCUCGCCCUCGGUACACCAGAGAACACCAUAUCAAGCCAAACAGGAUUGUAGCUAGGCACCAACUUCCGAUCUCAAAGAAAAAAUAAUCGGCCCACCAGAUACCAACACACAAUAUGUAAGACGAUAGACAUGAUAUGUGAUUGGUGCAAACAACAAACCAGUCACAAGGAAAAGGCUCAAACACAACAGGACACGCACCCUCCAAACAACCUUAGCACCUAAACAACUCAAAAGCGCCAACAAGAGCACGUGACGACAAAUAUGGACCCAUGAAAUAGAGGCUGCCUCCAAAAAGAAAUCACCCCAACAAACACCCGCCUCCUCACCUAAACAACAUCAGCCACUCCCUUAUAUAGCUCCCGUCCGCAAACCGUUCCAACAUCAAAUCCCCACCACCACCACCUCAAAAACGACCCACCACCACCACUUAAACAACCCACCACCACUACAAAAACUACUCGUCAAACUGCCUCACCAAGAAACAAACGGCCACACAAACAAGACUCGAGGAAGAUGAAACCGAACAACAAAACCUGGGCAGCGAUGCCUGUUUGAAACGGAAACUCAACCUAGAUCGUAUAAAGUCGACCGUUGGUGACAAUGAAAAUGCACCACCACCACACAACCGAAACAGUAUCACCACUGUAUCCGCAUCACCCCACCACACCUCACUGCCACCAGUCUCCACCACAUAGACCCAAAAACCUAACAGCUUCCUCCUUCACAACAACAACACGAAACUCCCUAAACACCACCCUCCCAUCGCUACCAACAGUCACGAAACAGCACCGGUGAAGGAGAGAUCUGGACACACACAAACAAGAAUCGGAAAUCUGGAAACAAAUCAAAACGAAUCGGAAACCGGACCGGAGCAAAAACGGAGAGCGAUCCACAGAGGCUAAAUAGAUGUGAAACCGAAGGCGACUUUUGCAGAACGACCCACCUACUACUGAACCUAGCGGCGGUGCCGCUUCUCGUAACAACCCCAAGUCCUCCAGCGAGGCUGAGACAUGCUGCCUAAACAAUCACAAACUGCAACAACGACAGAAAAACAGGACACCGGUGUCGGAUAUGACGGAUCUGACGAAGAGCAGACGUUGAAUCGCCGGAAGAGGAAAGGGUGGUACCAGUGCUGCGCAUGUUAAACCUUGUCACACCACCACUCUUGUACUCUACAUUGGAGAAGAAACGGUUUGGAUAAGAGGAAGGAGGUAAGCGACUUUUAGAGAGAGGUCAGAGAAAAAUCCGAGAGAGAGAAGUGAUAAUGGUCUCGUGUCGCAAUCAUGUGAGAACUUAUCAUAUAGUAUAUAUAAUAGGGGUGAUAGUCUUUUUGAUCCCUGAAUCUGUCACAAGUUGUCACAAUAAUCCCUUAAUAUAUCAAAAUUUUAGAAUAGUUCUUGAGUUUGCAAUAUGUUAGUCAAAAUAGUCCUUGAUGUUUAAAUAAUCCUUCGAUGUUAACAAUAUUUUUUUUUAUAAGGAUUGAUAUGACAAUUUGAAAAUACUUAUAUAGAUUAAUAUGAAAGUAAGUAAGUAUAUUGAGAGAAUGAUAUGAUAAUAUUAAUGGAAGAUUUUAAGAUAAAGAACUAUUUUGAUUAACAAAGUGCACAAUUAAGGACUAUUUUGGAAUUUCAAUACAUGCAUGGACUACUUUUUUUUUUUUUUUUUUGACAAAACAUGCAUGGACUACUGUGCCUACUAGUUACACACAUUCAGGGAAUAAAAUGACUAUUACCCCAUAUAUAAUAUGACUUCAUUUUAUAAAAUAUGUAUGGUGAUGUUUAACAUGGAAAAGGUGAAUUCUUUCCUACCAUGGGAAAUGUGAUCUUUGACCUUUGAUAUAUUAAUAAAAAAUUUCAAUGGUUGAGAUGGACCACUUGCUACCUAUUGCUAACUCUUUGGUUUUAAAAUUUGUACAAAAAUUAUGACCCCACAUUAUAUUGGUUUAAUGUUAUUUAUUUAAUGGGAUAUAGGUACAAUAUUAGACAAUGAACCAAUGAGUAAAAAGUUUAUUCUAUUUAUUUUUUGUAAAAUGUUUUUUGUACAAUGGACCAAUGAGAAGGAUUGAUAUUUUUUGAAAGAAAAUAUACAGUUUAUUAUAUUAUAGUGGUAAAAAGAUAUUCUUAAUCUAUGGAAUGAAAUUCCAUCAUCCAGCCAUUAAUUUGAACUGAUAUUUUUUUUUUUAAAAUUAAUAAUGAGAUUGCUUAAGAAGAUAUUCUUAAAAAAAUUAAUAAUGUGAAAUUAUUAUUUUUAUUGAUAUAUGAGAUUGCGUUUAUGUCUGAUCCUAUACUUUAAAUACUGGAAAAAAAAUGUACUUAAUUGGAUUAUUCUGUCAAUUUAUUUUUGAUGAUUUUUUUUUCUUAACUAUUGAUGUUUGUUAAUUUUUUUUGGUAUAAUUGACGUUCAUUAUUUUAUUGAUUUUUUUAGGGAAUUGAGGUAUCACAUUUUAUUUAUUUACAUUUUCAGAAUAGUGGUUAAUAAAAAGUGUUAACCAUCCUUAAAAAAAAAAAAAAAAGUGUUAACCAUGUAUUUGUGUAUUUUGCUCUCAAAAAAAAAUUUGUAUUUGUGUAUUUUAAUUAUCCUAGUAUAAAACAAUAUUGCUUUGGUAUAAAUAUUUUGGAGUGACAUAGAUAAGUGGGGUGUAAAAAGUAGCGUUUUUAAUAGGGGAGGGUGUAAUCCAAAUUUUGUAUUAUAUUGCACUAAAUUCUGUUUGUUCAAAGCAACACAACAAAAAAAGCUUUCCUUAUAAAGCAACAUUUCCCAUGGUGGAAAAGGAUUAGCCUUACCCAUGAUAAAUGCCACCAAUAUGUAUACAUAUCUAUGAAUUUUUAUUUUUUUUUGUUUGGGUGGGUCGUGGUCCACCCUAGCCCAUAAGUGGCUCCACCACUGCGCGCGGAUAAGAAUCGAAAAAAUAACGGAAAUAGUUUAAACAGACAUAAUAAACAUGUACAUUAAAAAACUCACGCAUAAAAUGUUAAAAUUAAUUAAUGUCUCAAGGCCAAGCCCAUACCCAAGCCUGAACUGACACACAUGUACUUUAUAUUUUUGUGUAUACUCACUUUGUUCACAAAAGUGGAUACCCCAAGUCAACGGCCGUGUGAAAGUCCAUCUCCUAAUUAAUACUCCCUCUGUCCCAAAUUGUAAGCAAAAAAACAAAAAUCGCAUUUAGUAAGAAAACUAAAACAUAAGAAUUUGAAGUAUAGUUUUUUGUGUUUUCUUUAGAAUAAGUUUCAUGGAAAGAUGUAAAAACAAUUGGCUAUUGGUUAUGAAAAAAAUGGAAGAGAGAGAAAAUUUAAUGUAAUUUUCAUUUAAUUUCAUGAGAAUAAACAAAAAAAAUUAUUGCAUUUAAUUUCAUGAGAAUAAGCAAAGAAAAAAUUAUUGAAAAUGAUGAUUUUUAAAAUAAAAAAAACAAGAUUAAAUAGAAUAAAAUUUUAUUUUUUUUCCUACAUUUUGGGACAAAGAAAAUGAAUUUUUUUGCUUACAGUUUAAGACGCAGUGACUAUAUCAGCCUUACAUACAAAUUUGUGUGUUCCUUUCAAUGUGAAACUACAGCGUUUUUGAAUUAACACAACAACAUUUCUAUAUCCAAAACUUGGGUAUUUUCUACAUUACCCUCUCUUAUUUAUAGGAUAUUUACCCUUUCAAGAUAUCAACCAAUCAAAAUGUAAUAUACAAAUGUAACAUUAAAUGUCAAAUAAAUGAGUUAAAUUUUACUGGAGACUAAAUUUCACCAACAAUUUUGAUCUCUGCUUUUUUUUUUUUGUACAAAAGAGGGCAAAAGCUCAUUGAUCUCUACUUUUAUGAAUCCCAAAAAUAAGAGGAAGGUGGAAAAAAAUGCAAGCAAGAAUAUAUAAAAUUUUACAACGUAUCGUAGGCUAGUUAUAGUUAAAUAUAAAAAAUUUAUUUUAAGAAAUAUAUAUAAAGCGUUCAUUAAAAAAUAAAAUAAAGCAUGACAAUUUUUUUUUAAAUGAAAAAAUGUGGCACUUGUUUUAUUAAAAAAUAAGCUAUGAACUUGGCCGUUAUUUUUUAAGUCAUGAACAUGUUGUUUUAUGAAAAAAUAAUUAAAUUAAAUUAAUAGGGUUAAAAUUGGAAGAAAAUAUAUAAAACUAUCAGCUAUAAACUCAAAAGCUACUUGAAAUAGCUUCUAAAAAAACGCUAUAAGCUAGUGAAAAAAGUUUUUUUUUACCAAACACAUUUUAUUAUAUCAAAACAAGAUUAUAAGCUAGACAAGCUAUAAGCUAGCUUAUUCGUGUUACCAAUUACAGCCAUGAUGGGUUGAAUUUGAUGUGAAAUUUUAAUUGUUACAAGUCAUAUAGUGUAAAUUAAUUAAGAUUGCAUACAUAAAUAUAAUUAAAUAAAAAUAAAAAGUUACCUUAUUAAAAUUGAUUUUUUUUUUAUAAAAAGAUUGACACAUUUAUUUGACAUUUAAUGUUACAUUUGUAUAUUACAUUUUGAUUGGUUGAUAUCUUGAAAGGGUAAAUAUCCUCUAAACAAGAGACGUUAAUCUAGACAUCAUCCAAAACUUGGUGUUUAGUCUUUCAACUUUCUUCCGAUUUCCAACUCGUAUUUCAACAUUUACGAUGCAAUAUUAUUAAAUACUACUCCUUCUAGACUGUAAUUAGUCAACCCUAUUUAGUCCAAAAUUCAGACCAAAUACAUUUAGUUUUUCUUUUAUUCUUUUUCUUUAUAUUUUAUACAUUGAUGAAUAUAAUAAAUAUAGUCAAAAAAAUUUAAUGAUAUGCAUCGUAUAUUUAGUCAAUACUUAAUAUUAUUGGUAAAUCAUAAAUUGCGUUGAAAGAAAUACUACAUUUACUUUAAUGUAAAAACACACACAAAUCACAUAUAAAUAUGCAACACCAUCUUGUCUAUGUGUAUGAAUGAAUAUGGAAUCACACUCCAAAAUGCCCGUGACAACAUUUGUUGCCAUGUUGUUUGCUCUUGCUUUUGCAUCUAGCUUAUGCAAUGCUUCAAUUGAAUCAGUUAACGUCGAUGUUAAUUUUUCAGAUGGGGUAUUUGUUAGUUGCAAUAGUGAGAGCAAUGGUCUCACUAAUCAAGGGUCUGGUAAUGUGCAUGUCACUGUUCCUGUUGGUCAACGUGUAAUCUGUCGUGCAAGUUGGAAUGGUUCAAGUGCUUUGUUCGAUGGAUAUGAUCCACAAUAUGAUCAAGGUCAUGCUUUUGUCUAUUGGGAGGUAAGGCAAGAUGGGUUAUAUCAUAGUUGGGACGACAAGAACUUUGUGAAAAAGGGUGUUUGGAAGAUUCCUGCAAUUGUUGAAAACUAAGGUAGUGCUAUAAUAAUAAUACUUGUGCAAUAGUUUGAUUGAGCAUUGAGCUCGAGUACGUUUUGUUAAUUUGAGCUUGAUUAUGCUUAGGAUUCUAAAUGUACAAGUAGCAUUAAUUAAUCAAUUAUAUUAGUCAAAAAAUGUAAUAAGAAUAUAAAAAACUUUUUAUGAUACUUUACUAUGUAAUCUCUUCUCUCUCUUCCCCUUCUCUCUUGUGAGCCAUCGUCGAAAUUUUAGUUUCUUCUCAUUCAUCUAUCAAAAGGGUCAAUUUUUAAUCCAAAAUUGCUCCUUUAACUCGUUUUUUCCUUUCACUUUUGUUGAAAUAAGUAGUUUUCAUAUCUAUUUUGAUUUUUCUUUCGUGAUUUCGUCGUCUUAGUGCGACGUUGUUUUGUUCGUUGUACUUGUGCGUCGUUGUUUGUCAUAAACGUAAAGCAUCAAAGGCCAGUUGAACCAUCCUGAACGUUCUAGAUGUGUAAAAAAACAUUCUAGUUGAAUUGAAGAAGAAAAGUGAAAACAAUUGAAGCUUUAGAAAGCUGCACAAAUCGUGACCAACAAAUCUAUUUUCACUCUUGAUUAACAAAUCACUCCUCACCUAUAAAUACAAGUGGUCUUGAAGGUUGAAAUUAAAGCAAGAGUUUUGAAAGCAAGCAUUCUCUCAAGUGAAAAUCAUCACUACAUACAAAGUUUUUCACAAACAAACAAAUUCCAAGCUAUCUCAUUAUAUCUUUUGAUCAUACUCAUACGAAUUUGUUUAUUAAAUCUCGGGUUAAUUAAGUUUUUGGUCCCUAUAAAUAUCUGCAAUUUUGUUUUUAGUCCCUAUAAAAAUAAAUCACACUUUUUAGUCCCUACAAAAUUUUCCGUUAGUGUUUUUAGUCCAUAUAAAAUUUUCUGUCAGCAUUUUUAGUCCCUAUAAAAAAUUUCCAUCAACAUUUUUAGUCCCUAAAAUGCUUAAGGAAAAUGUCACAGAGACUAAAAAGUGUGAUUUUAUUUUGUAGGGACUAAAAACAAAACUGUGAAUAUUUAUAGGGCAUAAAAUCUUAAUUAACCCGUAAAUCUCAAACAUGUGUUGAGAAAUUUAUUUGAUCCAAACCAAAUCCCAUCUUUAUCAAGGAAAAAUCCUUGCAAAAAACGAAACUAGAUAGUUCUAGAAUCAUUCUCGUUAAUAAACCCUUCCUAAACAAACUUGAGUCAUGUGCCUCAAAAGGAUCCUUUUAUCUUCUUAGUAAAAAUAAUAAGUUUUAAUUUUUUUACUAGUUCCAAGACAAGUUCUUACAGCUAAUUAAGCACCUAUUUUACCAUCAUUAAACCACCUUUUGUCUAAUCUAAAAUUUUCUCUCUCUUCUCCCAAAACCGGCUCUCUCUCUCUCUCUCUCUCUCUCUCUCUCUCUCACUAAACCACUUUCUCUUAAACUUCCCUUAACCUUCUCAUCUUCCUUCUCUCCAAAACCACCACCACUGAAGGAACCUAACUCACCAACUCCAUCACCAUCAUCCUCCUAUACUCCUUCACCAGAAGCAAAGGAACUAACAUCAUUCAAAAUCCCACCAGAAUCACCAUCAAAACUUCCAGAAAUCACACCCAUGCAAAACUUCGAUUCGACCCUUCAUGCAUCUCUAGAAAAAACAUUGUUUUCUCCUCCAGAACAAACUCAUGAUCAAUCUUCUCAAAACCUGGAAGAAAGUCAUUUCCACCCAGAUAUUAAACCUGUUUACUAGAAUCCCCUUUCCAUGGUUGUGUACACUAGUUCUCAGGUUUCCCUUCCUUCAAACCCAAGAAAUGAUUCGCCUCCUCCAAACCCAAAACCUACCUUUUCCCGUUCAAAGAAAUCGAAACCUAAGAAAACCAAAUCCACUCUAAACAUACGAACUCGUUGUUCUCAAAGAGUUAUAGUGGGGAUUGGUACAAGAAAAACUAGGAGUGUUAACAACACUAUCUAUGAUAUUUCAGAUUGAGAAGUUGAACCGAAACAUCCAUCGAACAAAGUCAACCUUUUCCUCAAGUCUCCUAUAAGGUAUCCACUCCGCGAAAGUCUGUAUCAAAACCACAUCCUACCCAAAAAAAAAGGGAAAAGAGAAGGCUAUCACCCAACAAGAACGUUCUCCCAUUCAACCAGAACGUUCUUCUUCCAAAACUUCCAAACCUUCUUCUAACAAACUGUCUUUGUCCAAACGGAAAAAGGUCCCUCUGUUUGAUAAAGAUCUUAAGAAAGACUUUAAGGAAAAAUGGUCUACAAGACCAAUUGGGGUAGGAAGAUUCAUCGACUUUGCAAAGCUAGAAAAAGAGAAAAUUUCUCUGAAAGAAUACUCUGAUGCUCUUGGAUGGACAAAAUUUCAGGAAAUUAGAGAAAGAUACUAUCCAAAAGUUAUCCAAGCCUUUUACUUCCGAGCAGAAGUUCUUCUAGAAAAAGUUUGAUCGUACCAAAAAUCAAAGAUGUCGAAAUACAUCUUACUCCUAAGGUAAUAUCUGAUAUCUUCGGUCUGCCUCUAAAUGGUCCUUCUAUGUUUGGCGAAUCUUGGUAUAAAGAACUAGAUGUUGAGUUUGAAAAUUUUCUUUGCCAAAUACCCAGAUUUUAUGCUCUUCCAAUCUUAAACAAACACCCAAAAUGCGCAAUGUCAUGAGUUAGCAUAGUCUUCUACCAAAAAAUUGUAAUUUUCAACAAAUUCAUGAUAAUGAUUUGUUAUUCAAUUAUCAUCUUUUAAUGGAAGAAAAAUUAAAUUUAGCAUUCAUUAUUAUUCAGAACAUGAUUUCUACUACUUAAUCCUCUAACAAAAAAUUCAACCUCCUAUACAACAUGGCUUUGACAAAAAAAAUUCACAAAUUCAAAGGCUCUCUUGAUGGAGAAGAGUCAAGUUUUGAGUUCUCUCAAUUUACUCCCAAAAACAUGAGUCAUAUGUAAGAUGAAACUGUCAUCACUAGACCAAAUAUACCUUCUCAAAAGAGAAAAAGGGAUGAGUGUUCCUCUGUUCCUCUUGAUCCAUCAACUCAAAAUGUCUCUGCUAAUGCAACUCAGCCACCAAAACGUUGCUAGAGAACGUUCUCAACUGUCCAACAUUCUCAAUUGUCCGAGCUUCUCAUGUCUUUCAAAGCUUUUCCUCUGAACCAACCUCAACCAUAAGGGUAACAAAGCCAUCACAUCUCUUCAUCUCUCCACCAAAAACUAACUACUCUGCGCUAUUCCAACUUGAUUUUGUGGAUACUUUCUUUGUUCCACAACCUCGGUUUGAGUCUUCCAUUCCAAUGGAAUCUGUCAUACCCCAAUUUUUGACCUAAGACAAUAGUGACACAUGUCAUUUAACUCCAACCGGUCUCAGCCUUUCGAGCAAAAAAUUCAGCAAAGAGGUAUUUUAAAAUACCUCAUAUUCAUAUUUGAUUCCGAGUCGGGUCUCUUCUCUCAAUUUUCAUUUAAUUUUUAUUUUCAACUUUUAUUAAUUUUAAAUCCGUUUUAAAUUUUUAUCUUUUUUUAUCUCAUUUUGAUUCACUUUAGUCCUUGUAUUUUUAUUUUAUUUUAUUAUUUUUAUUAUUAUUAUUGUCAAAAUUUUAUCCAAAGGGAACACAAGCCAAAACAGCUUGCCACCCUUCCUCUCCAAGCCACGACAGCUUUGCCACACUUCCUCUCCAAGCCACAAAAAACAGCCUGUCAUGUUCCUCUCCAAGCAACAAAAUUCUGCUCAACUCAGCUCUAUAAAUACAACCAACAACCACCAGCAAAGGGGAGGAGAAAACUCAUAAAAAAUUCCAGUACAACAAAAUCUCACAAACUUUCCCCAAUCUCACGUAAUAACAUCACAGUACCAUAAACCCCAUCACCAAAUCUACAAAUCGAUCCAAACAAUACCAUCACCAAACCAUCAUAAACCGUAACCCUAGCGCAACAAAUCACCAAAUCCGAACCGUACCACCACCGAUUUCGAAUCCAAACCGGAUCUACCAAAAGGUAGUAUUUCUUUCCUUAGAUCUAGGUCAAACCGCUUGGUAAAAAUAAUUUUUGAGCUUAAAAUCGGAAAGAGGGAGAGAAAAGAAGAAGAGAGGACGAAAAAAAAUAAAAAAAGGGACACUUUCAUUUCCGGCGCGGCGGCGCAGCCGCGAUGGCUCACCGACCACCGCGCCGGAACCACCUCCGACCACCAUCUCUCCACCGGAGAAGAUGAAGAAAAGGAGAAGAGAAGAGAGAGCCUCUCUCUCUAGAAAUAAGGGAAGAGAGAGAAGUUUGAAGUGAAAAUGAAUAAAAAAACCGGUGCCUGCCUAUAUAUAUAAUGCUAGACCGAACCGGUUCAACCUUGGAACCGGUCUGAACCGGUCUAUUCCAGGCCCACACGCGCCUGGCCUCACCCAAGGCCCAAAUCCUCUUCAUUUUAUUUUCUGCACCCUCCUUUACUGCUCACACACACCCCAGCAUCUCAUCUUUCUAAUUUCUUUUUUCAUGCAUUUUAAUUCUCUCUCUAUUAAUCCAGAGUGCUCUGGUCCUAUAUUAACUGUUAAUAUUAUAUUUAUGUUUAAUUUAAUUAUUCUCCAGAAUAAUCUGGUCCUUGUUAAUUAAAUUAAUCCAGAAUAAUCUGGUCCUUAUUAAUUAAAUUAAUCCAGAGUGCUCUGGUCCUUGUUUGUUAAUUAAAUUAAUCCAGAGUGCUCUGGUCCUUGUUAAUUAAAUUAUUCUCCAGAAUAAUCUGGUCCUUGUUAAUUAAAUUAAUCCAGAGUGCUCUGGUCCUCAAUUAACCGUCAAUAUUAUAUUAUUCUCCAGAAUAAUCUGGUCCUUGAUAAUUAGUUUAAAUCCAGAGUGCUCUGGUCCUAAAUUAACUGUUAAUAUUAAUUUUGUUAAUCCAGAGUGCUCUGGUCCAAACUUAACUGUUAAUAUUUAUUUGUUUUUUGUUUAAUUUAAUCAUUCUCCAGAAUAUUCUGGUCUAUGUUAAAAUAACUUCAUAAUUCAGCUUAACGUCAUUUUUCUCAUUCUGCUUAUAUAAUUUUCAUAUCAUUAUUCCAAAACAACAAAAAGAACUUUUCACAAAAAACCUUGAUCUUAAAUCAAGUGACCGUCUUUUUAUUUUAUUUUUCUUAAUCAAAUUUCAAAUCAAUUCUAAUUCAACUUCAAGUCAAUUUCUUUCAAUCUAAAAAACACAAAUCAAUCCUCAUUUGCCACUUGCCUUUUUAUUUCAAAACCUUUUUGAAAACUAAUAAAAAAUACAAAAACAAAUCAAACGUCAAUUUCUACCCCGAACUACGAGGUUUUGAUCCCUCACGGGUACGUAGGCAGAGGACACUUGUCCUUCCAAAUCAAAUAAAAAAAACCAAAAACAUAUUUCUUCUCCCUCCAUUCUUUCACUUAGACUUUUAGGUAAUAAUUUUCAAAUAAGCAAUGAAUUUAGCACAAGAUAAUUUAGGUAAGAGGUUCCUACGGAAUACCGUAGACGCUUAGGGUGCUAGCACCUUCCCUUUGCGUAACCAACCCCCGAAUCCAAAGUCUCGAUAAGGGUUUUUACUCAUUUUUUCCCUUCCCACGAAUAAAAAUCGAGAGUUCAAAGAUUGACGAUUCAAAUCAAUUAAUGGUUUGAUAACCGAAAAUCGCGAGCACAGAAUCCUUUAAGUCUCUUCAAACUACUCAUUUAAGACAUUGUCCCCAUGCUGCUUCUCGGUUUGCCGGAACAACUUCCAUGGCCCAAAGGGUGACCCAAAACAAUGUAAGACGUUCAAAAGGACAAGGGUCGAAAGAGAUGUUAGCAAGACUCGUACUGAUUUGCUAAGAUUGUUUGAAGGAAACAAUGCAAUCAUGCAUCACUUUUCUUACAAUACCCUUGAGCUGCAAAUUCAGAGGAAAUGGAUGUCUAAGGUUAUGAGCAUAAAGUUUGAUGUACCUCCACCGGAACCUAAUCCUUUUCCAGUUCCAAUGUAUACCAUGCCUAUUUCUACUAUCUCAUCUUCUUCUGAUGCUUCUUCUCCAACUCUGCCUCCGAGUACUGCUCCUGCCCCUUUUUGCGAUGACAAUGAGAUGAUUUAGAGGGUUAUGAUUUUGAGGGACCAGAAAAAGACUUAGGAUCAAGGGAAGGUUAAGAAAAGUUGCUGCAGUUGUUGUUUGCUAGUUGUUGUUAUUAGUAUGUCUUUUAUUUAUUUUUGAUGUGAUGUUGUAUUUUGAUCAUGUGGAUUAAAGGUUCAAUGAUGAUGCUAGUAUGUGGGAAAAUGAUUAUUGCAUUUCUAGAUCUUUUUUAUGUUUGAAAUACUAGGAUUGAAACCUUGUAUUAAUCUUCAUGAUUUUAUCUAAUGAAAUGAUGUUUAUGUUUGUUUUAAAAUCUCAAUUUGCAUAUGAGUAUUGAAUGCAUAAAUUGAGGGGGAGUUAUUUAAUAAAAUUGUCAAACUCAAAAACAAACAAAUAUUCUUGUGAUACUCUCAAAUAACAUAUAAAUGUUUGUCAUCAUCAAAAAACGGGAGAUUGUUGAGACAAAAUCUUUAUUUGAUGUUUCAAAGAUUACAAACAUGUUAUCUUUAUUUAAUCUUAUCAUCUACUAAUUUGUUUGGCGAGGAUUUAUUUCAUGAGAAUGUUCUGAGACACAAAGAAAAUAAAACAUUUACAUCAAAGAACAAAUCAACAAAAAGGGAAAGCAUGACAUGAGAAGAACACGAGAAGUUAUCUUGGGCCUUGAGAAUUUUCGAUCCAUUUAAAGAAAAGCCAAUUAAUGGAUAAAUAUCUCAUGAAAAGUAAAUAAGCACAUGUGAAAUAGUAUGACAUCAUCAAAGUACAAAUGAAUGACAUAAUCAAGGUCACUUCAACAUAGAAAGCAACAUCUCACUACGGUCAGAUCUCAUUCACGUAAAGCAGCAAAGGCCUGCUUACCCGUCCAGAACAUUCUAGAUGUGUAAAAGAACAUUCUGGUCGAAUUGAAGAAGAAAAGCGAAAUCAAUUGAAGCUUUGGACAGUUGCACAAAACGAUAUACAAGUGGUCUUGGAGGUUGAAAGCAAGAGUUUUGAAGGCAAGCAUUCUCUCAAGUGAAAAUCAUCACUACAUACAAAGCUCCUCACAAACAAACAAAUUGCAAGCCCUCUCAUUAUAUCUUUUGGAUCAUACUCAUACAAAUAUGUUUAUUAAAUCUCAAACAUGUGCUGAGAAAUUUAUUUGAUCCAAACCAAAUCUUAACAUACAAAGUGUAUUGUAUUUCUCAAGUCUAUUCGUACGAUAGUUUGAGAAAGAAAUGAAACAACCUUUCAUGUGUGAAAGCAAAGAAUUGUAGAAACCUACUGAUGUUGAUAAUACAGGGAGUAACGAACUUAUCUGGUAUGGUCAAGAACUUAUAGUGCUAGUCAGAAGUUUCAGUUAGCAUGAUACUAUAAUGGAUAAUCUCACACGAGGUGUGUGGACUGAAAGUAGCCGGAUUUGGUGAACCAAGAUAAAUCUCUUGUGUUAUAAUUCUUCCCUUUCUCUUUUUGUUUAAGUUACACUAUUUACACACACAAUCACAAUCAUAUUAUUAUUUAUUAAUCUCUCUAGAAUAUUCUAGUACUAAUUAAUCACAACCAAAUUAAUCCAUAGUUCUGAGGUCCUAACUUAAUCAUUACUAUUGUUUUAUUAUUUCAGUCAAUAUUAAUUGAACAACUGCAUCAAGAACAUACUUGUUCAAGAUAAAACAACUGCAUAAAUAUCUAAAGAUAAACUCACGUUUAAAAUUAGCUUAUAAUAAUGUUUUUAUCAUUCUGCUCUUAUAUUAAUCAUUCUCCAGAACAUUCUGGUCCUUGAUAAAAUAGUUUUCAUAUUUCAGUUUAAUAUCAUUUUUAUCAUUAUGCUUAUAUAAUCAUUCUCCAGAACAUUUCAGUGUUAAAACCAAUUAAAACAAUUAAGCUUUAAUUCAUCCAUAACAUUCUGGUUCUUGUCAAAACUAUUUAAUCACUUAAGGUUAUUUAAUCCAGAUCAUUCUGGUCCUGUAUAAAUCAAUUGUUAUAUAUAUAAUACUCUAAUCUUGUUAGACUAACAUUUACCAAGAGCCUUCUUGAGUAUAUAAACUUAUUUAAGUUUCAGGAAUAAAUUUUAAAAGGUUCACAAUUCAAACCUCCCAUUUCUUGCGACGUUUAUUGCUACUUCAAUACAUCCCUAAAUAUUCUUUUCUUCUUACUGCCUGCGUUUGCCACAAUUUGACCUAUCAGCCGUUAAUUAGCAAAUUAAAGAUAGAUAUUGGAAUAUCAUAACAAAUCAUGAGUUUCUUACGUUAACAACUCUUAAUUUUCUCGCUUUAUACUCUAAAUUGAAUUGUUCACUUUAGGGAUCCUUGCCUAUCAUAUCAUGUCAUAUAUUGCAUAAUAUUAUUUGAAAGUGUCUCAUGUUUACACCUGUGAAUGUGAAUUUUUGUAGUUACGAUAUUUGAGAAUAUUUUGACUUAGGCGGAAGAGCACAUCACAUGAAAAGUAUACUUUGGAGCUGUUUGGUAGUAGAGAUGUGAUGAUAUGCUUCAAAAAUCUUGCCAUCAAACCUUGUGACAAGAAGUCAUCACACCAAAGACUUCAAAAUCAAAUACAAGAAGUUUACGUACCUUUGAAUUCUAAAUCCAAAAGGAAGUUACAUGUUUAGAUUAUAUCAAUACAAAAUUAUCAUUAAAAUGGAAUGGAAUUAUAAUCUGAGAGCAAAUCAGAAGUUAUAUAAAGUAAAACUUACCAGUUUGAUUUGUUCUUCCGAAAUAUUAAAGACAUGUGAGAUGUUAAAAAGAAGAGUUGAACAAAAACACUGGGAUCAUGAUACAAAAACUAGAGCAAAAUUGAACAAAAGAUGUGAACAAGAUGCAAAUCUUUUUCCAAAAUUGAGAAAGAAUAAUGAACGGCAAAGCUGGCAAAUGCAAUUUCAUCAAGAGAUAAUCAUCAGAAAAAACGAUAGAGCGAGCUAGAAAUUAAGAACGGGGUGUAUUUAAUGAGAGCAAUACUUAAUAAAUACUAAUAUUCUUGCAACAAUGUAAACAAGAACACUACUUUAAACUUAGGUUAGCAACAUUUUAAAAUAUGUUGCCCAUCAAAUUUUACCAAAAGGUCUAAGUGUAUUAGUGACAUGCAGACACUCUCAUAUGCAUUUUUUUAAAAUAUGUUGCCCAUCAUCAACUCCUACAAAACUCUUCAAGAAAGGAAGCAAUAAAAUCAAUUCUUCAUCUGAAGGAUCAGAAAACCAACUCUUAAUUAGUAAUUCAUUCUCCACUUGGAACCAAAAUUAAUGUGGGAGAAUUCAACCAUUAUAACACAUGCUAAAUCUCGAUCAAGCAACGUUAAAUCUUUGACGGAAUAGACGAUAACAGAAUAUUUUUCGGCUUGGGUCAAGCAUAUUUAGGAGUUUGUCAUCAUAAAUACUUUGAGCAUCAAUAUACAAUAAUCUCAAAAAGACCAGGAACUUCGUAAAGGAAUUCUUUUAGGUGAGGACGAAACCGUACAUAGACAUUGUGCUCCUCCUUCUCAUAAUCAAAAUUCACAGUAUAAUGAAGCACCAUCAACUACUUCAAUUCCCAUAUUUAGAGACUCCAUCUUCAUUAGGCCUUCCUCAGCGCUUCUGAAACCUUAGGAGAACUUCAUUCUCAUAACUAUGAUUAAAAAUAUAAGCUGCUGAACACCUUGUUAGGAAGACUUCCGACACAAGAAGCCCAAUGUACCCUCCAUCAAACUAGGAUCUGAUACGACUAUUGGAUCACAAGGGGAGUCUAAAGGACUGCCCACAUCUAGGCCAUAUCAACAACAUAAGCGAGAGACACCGCACUUUUAUCUAAAAUCUUAAGGCAAUGAGUCUAUGGUCUCACUUAAAGUGUUCAACCUCCACUUUACUAUCGGAUGUGAGUGAUCACACUUGCACACAACACUUCCAAAUAAAAAAUCAACAUUCUUCUCACCAACACUUGUUUUUGUCGAGCCCGUAUGCAAUAGUUGAUGCAGUAGGAAUUCACGACUUAAGUAUGAGAAAUUCGAAUUCAACAUGUUUGAUAGGUGAAUAAAGGAAAAUGAAAUAGUUUGGGUAUUCAAAAAUGAAUUAGGGAUGUUUCGAAUUCAUGUUCUGCUUAAGAAAGAUUAAGGAUGUACGAAAAGGAAUGGUGUCUAUGUGCUUGAAGAAAAAAAAACGAAAACGCAAAAGAGAAAGAGAAUGACGAGGAUAAUUGGAAAGGAAGGUGGAGAAGGAUGAAUGAACUAGGGGUUUUAAAAAUUAGUGUUCAUGUUUCCCCAAUCUGAUUCCCUUUCUUUGAUGUUUUAAUUAUUUUUUCUCAUUUUAAUAAUUAAUCCUAUUAUUUUUAAUAAUUUAUAUUAUGACAUGAAAACUAAAUUAGCAAACAUGCACCGACACAUCAUUGAAUCGUCGUCAUUAAUGAGAAUAACACAUAACCAAAUAUGACGACGGACUAAUUAGAAAACAAAGAAAUACAAAAUAAGGGGACUAAAUUGGUGGUUUUGAGUCGCGUAAGCGCAGCUCAGUUGAUAGAUCAGGUAUAAUUUGUGCAGGGGUCGGGGUUCGAACUCUGGAUUCCCCAUUUUUCCACACAUAAUGUGUGUGAAUCCAGCCACUAGGCCACUUGACCAAAAAAAAAAAAAAAAUUGGUGGUUUUGAAAAUAGGGGAUUAAAUUUUUGACUAAAUCGUGCCCGCCAUUAUGUUCUUUUUAUUGCGCUAACGUUUGAAAAUUAUAACGGUGUUUUUUUUUAUGAAAUUUUGAUUAAAAAUUAAAAAUAUAAAUGUUUGUUGCUUUCAAGUUAUAACAAACCAAACUAAUCAUGAUUACCUAUCUCAAUGACAUCAACAAUAUAACAAAAAAAUAUAAUCAAUUUUUUUUAUGACACCAAUAACAAUCUUUAUAAUAGAAAAAGUUAUUUAAUGUCAAAACCUUACUUUAUAUAGAAUAUUGGUUUUAAAAAAAUAGAAAAAUAAUAAAAAUAUUGGUUUUCGUUUUAAUAUUCGUUUUAACGUGGAAGGACCUAUUAAAGUAAAUAUUGGUUUUAAAAAAAUAGAAAAAUAAAAAAAAUAUUGAAAAUAAAUGUGGAAGUGACAUUUGGCAGAAAAAAUCUUACUUUAUAUAUAUAUAUAUAUAUAUAUACACUAUUGAUAUAUAUUCAUGUUAUGUUUAUUACAUUUUUUUAAUAUUUAAAUUUAUUUUUAUCAAUUUAUUAAAUGUGUUAUUUUUAUUGAAAAUUGAGGGUAUUUUUGAAAAGAGAAAAAGUUAGGGGUUAUAAAAUAGAUAAUACUCUAAUAUAGAAGUAUAGAUAUAUUGUAACCAAAAAAAGAAGUAUAGAUAUAUCCCAUCGCCUGAAUUUCUUAGAGUUAGUUUUCAAACUGAUCUACUAUCCUAGAAGGAUUGCUUAUAUCGAAAGAAAAACCCUAACUAUUGGCGUAAUAUUUUUCUUUCAAAGUUUAGUGUAGCAUUCUUCAACCUUUUCACCACCACCUAUGGUGUUGGUCAGUCAUCGCACCUCCAGUCUCGUGGAAGUCAUGGAUUCCAGGAAGAGAAGUAGAAGAGGAGGUCAAGUUGAGGAAAGUGACAGGGAUUCCAGGAAGAGAAAAACGAUUCAAACGUUGAGAAGUGAUUCAAGGCGGUGGCGGUUCUACCGUAUGGCGACCCCGGGCGGUCACCCGGGCUCGAUUGAUAAUUUUUGCACAUUAAACUCAACCAAAAAGUCCAUUAACACAUUUACAAAAGAAAAAUUUGGGCAAUCUGAAAAUUUUCACACGCAAAUAGGUCUUGGAAUUUUAUUUAGCACACUAUUGACGGGUUCAUAUAUCUUAUUUUAACGGGUUAAUUGUUUAAAUUUAUCCUGUAAUAUACUCUAUGUUUGAAAAAUGACCCAAUAAAAUAUAAAACAUAUAUUCUAGCAUUGUAACUUGAAUUUCUUCUUAUUUAAUUUUGACACCCUAUAAUAUACGUGUAGUCUAAAAAUGUGACCUACAGGUUGAAUUUUUUCACUAUUUUUUUUCAUACAUGUUUAGCACGUUAAAAUAUAGCUUUGCACAAAAUUAAAUUUCUUCGACUAGGGAUAAAUUAAUUAUGAAUUUGUAUUCCCUCAUAAUUAUGAAUUUCUUAAACAAUUUAUAAUUAAUUUGUAUCUCGUUUAAAAAUUACAAAAUUUUAUUGUGAAGGUUCUUAUCAUGCCUACAAAAUUAGGGAACUAAAUUUGCUUGUGAGUAUACGUUUUCGCGGAACAAAAUUUCAAUUUUGCACGUUUCAGUUGAAAAAUCAAAAUAAAUUUAAACGACUUCGAAAUUCUAUGAAACUUUACAAAUCCUUUUUAUGUAUUUUUAUAGAUGUCUCUGCAAAUAAUGAGCUCAAAAUUCGAUUUAUAGAUCGAGAUUUCUGUUGUUUUGUUUUUUGAGCUUUUGACACUUUAAAAAUUCAUAAUUAAUUUGUCGUUUGUCGAAAAUUUAUAAUUUUUUUGUUAAAGCCAUAUUUUAACGUUCUUAACUCGCCUCUAGGAAAUCAUGAAAAAAUUCAAUCUCUCGGUUGCUUUUUUGGACUUCGCGUAUAUUACAGGUUAUAAAUAAUAAAAAUCUCGAAUUACAUAGUCAGAAUACAUGUUAUUUAAUUAAUUACAGGGUCAAUUUUCAGACUUUAAGUAUAUUACGUGGUCAAUUUUAAUUAAUAAUCCUAUUUUAAAUUGCACUUUUGUUGACAAAAUGAUAAACCUCUUUUAUUUAAUUUUUUUUUAGGAAAAAAAUAAAAAAUAAAAAUAUUUCGAUUCAUGACUGUUUAUAUAUUAUGUCACAUUUGAAUUUACUAUUAAUUUUUGAGUUUUUCUACUUGCACCCUAGUUAAUCAUGGUUGCACCCCAAAAUGACAAGAUUACCCUUUCAUAAAAUUUAAUCUAAAACUUAGUUGAAGUAGGUCAUAUAAACUGAGUUUAAGUGUAUAUACUUAAUCUCAAUUUAAGUAGGUUCAUGUAAACUGAGUUUAAGUAGGUCAUGUAAAUUAAGUUCAUGUAAACUAAAUUUAAGUAAGUACCAACUUAAACUCAGUUUCAGUAGGUUCAUGUAAACUAAGUUUAAGUAAGUCAUGUAAACUUAGUUUAAGUAGAUCAUGCAAACUUAGUUUAAGUGUACAUCUAAAAGUUCAAUCCUAUUCAAUGAUUAUACGUUCAUCUCAGUUUAAGUAUGCACAUGUAAACUCAGUUUAAGUAGGUUCAUGUAAACUUAAUUUAAGUAGGUUCAUGUAAACUCAGUUUAAGUAGGUUCAUGUAAACUUAAUUUAAGUAGGUUCAUGUAAACUCAGUUUAUGUAAGUUAAGCCAUGUACACUCAAUUUAAAUUUAAGUAGGUCAUGUAAACUCAGUUUAAGUAGGUUCAUGUAAACUCAGUUUAAGUAUGUUCAUGUCUCAGUUUAAGUAUGUUCAUGUCUCAGUUUAAGUAGGUUCAUGUAAACUCAGUUUAAGUAGGUUUAUGUAAACUCAGUUUAAGUAUGUUCAUGUAAACUCAGUUUAAGUAGGUUCAUGUUAAUUCAGUUUAAGUAGGUUCAUGUAAACUCAAUUUAAGUAGGUUCAUGUAAACUCAGUUUAAGUAGGUUCAUGUAAACUUAGUUUACAUGAACCUACUUAAACUGAAUUUAAGUUAACCUUGCCAAUGUAAAUUAAAACUGUAAUCGUACAGUGCAUCAGUGCAGUUGAAGGAAAAAAAAUUGAAACUAGCAAAUAGAAGAAGAAAUUCACUUACUUAUAUUCAAUUGAGUAUGGAUGAAAAAUAUUUUGAUUCACUCUUUAAUUUUCAUGGAGAUUGAUAUUGAACAUCAAAUUGUUUGAUCGAUCGCUUUGUGGGGUGAAAGAGGGUGAAACUCACUGACAAUGAAUAAAAUUAGGGUUUUAAGAAAAUUUAUAUAAAAAAGCAAUUUUGGUAUUAUAAAAAACUUUUAAGAAAAUUUGGGUGUAACCAGAAAAACAUGGGGUGUAAAUAGAAAAACUCUUAAUUUUUUGACGGGCUCCAUAAAUUUCGGGGCUCCGCCACUGAUUCAUUCAAGCAAAGGUAUUUGAAACGGGAGGAAAAGAAAAUACAAGAACUCAAAGAUGAUAUUGAAGAUGAGAAAUAUUUGAAGGAGUUGAGCUUUCAAAAGAAGAAUGCCGUGAUCUCAUGCACAAGAAAGAGAUAUACGAGGUACUUGUGAAGAAAAUAGGGUUAGAGGGUGCGGAUAAUGCGUAUAGAAUGCCAGAAGCUUAUGAUGAUCAACAAAGUGGCGUUAAUCAAGAAAAGAGAUUUUCUGUUGCAAUUAAGCUUAUAGCGAUGCAAAUGUUAAUCACAAAGAAGAGGCUUGGGAGGAACAUCAAAUUAGAAAGGCAAAGCUGAAAUAUGGUUCGAAAAAUAAGCGACAAGUCUCUGAUGAUUAUCGGUUUGUGUUUGAGGAGCAGAUUGAUUGUAUCAAGGCAUCAGUAAUGGAUGGACAUAAGUUUGAUUAUGGACAAGAGAUUGCAUUGAAAAAAUCUAGCGCAAAGAGAUCAGUUUUCGAGGCACUUCAGGAGGAGAGGAAAAAGCUACCUAUCUAUCCUUUUCGGGAUGAAUUUCUCCAAGCUGUUCAUGAUCACCAAGUACUUGUGAUUGUUGGUGAAACUGGUUCUGGGAAAACUACACAGAUUCCUCAAUAUCUUCAUGAAGCUGGAUACAUAAAGCAUGGAAGAAUGCUUGCAUGUACUCAGCCACGACGUGUUGCUGCUAUGAGUGUUGCUGCCCGAGUUUCUGAAGAAAUGGGUGUUAAACUAGGACAUGAGGUUGGUUACUCCAUACGAUUUGAGGAUUGCACGUCGGAAAAGACCAUAUGACGGAUGGAAUGUUGUUGAGGGAAUUUCUUGCUCAGCCUGAGCUGGACAGUUAUAGUGUUAUAAUGGUAGACGAGGCUCAUGAAAGAACACUUUCAACUGAUAUUUUGUUUGGAUUGGUUAAGGAUGUUGCUCGUACCCGGCCUGAUCUUAAGUUGCUGAUAUCAAGUGCUACUCUUGAUGCAAAGAAGUUUAGUAACUACUUUGAUCUUGCUCCAAUAUUCAAAAUUCCUGGGAGACGGUAUCCAGUUGAAAUACACUUCACAAAAGCACCAGAAGCUGACUACUUGGAUGCUGCUAUUGUCACAACGCUUCAAAUCCAUGCCACUCAAUCUCCCAGAGAAAUAUUGGUAUUCCUUAGUGGUCAAGAAGAAAUUGAAACCGUAGAAGAAAUCCUGAAGCAUCGGAUGAGACGUUUAGGAACUAAAAUAGCUGAAUUAAUUAUAUGUCCUAUAUAUGCCAACCUACCAACUGAACCACAAGCUAAAAUAUUUGAACCCACACCUGAAGGGGCUAGAAAGGUAGUCCUUGCAACCAAUAUUGCGGAAACACCAGUGACAAUUGAUGGGAUCAAGUAUGUCAUUGAUCCAGGGUUCUGCAAGAUGUAAUGUUAUAAUUAUAAUCCAAGGACUGGAAUCGAAUCUUUACCAGUAACUCCCAUCUCAAAAGCUUCAGCAAUGCAAAGAGCUGGUCGGUCUGGAAGAAUAGGUCCUGUUAAGUGCUUCUGAUUGUAUACUGCAUACAGUUUUGAAAAUGAUUUGGAAGAUGACACUACACCUGAAAUACAAAGGACGAACCUUGCAAAUGUAGUGUUAACUUUAAAUAGUCUUCGUAUUGAGUAUGACAAGCUGUUGCAUUUUGAAUUUAUGGAUCCUCCACCAGUUGAUGCCGUAAGAAAGCCAUGGAGCUUUUAUAUAGUUUGGGUGCUUUAAAUGGGUAUGGCAAGUUAACUAAGGUAGGCAGACGGAUGGCAGAGUUUCCACUUGAUCCUAUGUUGUCAAAAAUGAUAGUUGCUUCAGAAAAAUACAAGUGUUCUGACGAGAUAAUCUCCAUUGCUUCUAUGCUCUCUGUUGGAAACUCAAUAUUCUACCGUCCGAAGGAUAAACAAGUACAUGCAGACAAUGCAAGAAUGAAUUUUCACACUGGAGAUGUUGGUGACCACAUUGCUCAUCUAAAGGUCUACAGUACAUGGAAACAGGCCAAUUAUUCAACACGAUGGUGUUAUGAGAAUUAUAUACAGGUAAGGAGUAUGAAACGUGCUAGGGAUAUCCGUGAUCAACUUUUAGGUCUAUUAGAUAAGGUUGACAUCGAACUAAUUUCAAAUUCCAAUGAUUUAGUUGCCAUCAAGAAAUCCAUAUAAUAUCUGGAUUUUUCCCACAUACUACAAAGCACUACAAAGCUGCAAAAGAGUGGAACUUAUAGAAGAGUUAAACAUCUACAAACUGUUCACAUACAUCCUAGUUCGGGGAUGGCAGAGGUUGUUCCUAGAUUAGUUUUGUACCAUGAACUAGUACUCACAACCAAAGAAUGUAUGAUCCCAAGGACGUACAUUGAAGACUCGAGUUCGAAGAAAAUACCUCGUGGAUGUGGACUUGCAUAGUAGGAGAUGGUCUUGUUGGAGGGGGCAAUGUGCCUCUGGAGGGAAGUACAUUACCUGCUGUUUUUUGUAAAUGAUUUUCUGGCUCACAGUUGUUGUGUAUAUUAGUAGUUCUUUCUGGCUCCACAGAAGACUUGGAUUUUAAAUUUGUUUAUGAAAGUAUCUCAUUACUUCUUUAUUUUGUGAUUAGUUUCUUACCUAUUGGACAGUUUUUUUCUGGUAUUUUCCUUCCUUUGAAUGUUUCGCUUGUUGUUUGCAGGAUGGAAGUAAGACAUGCUACUUUAUUUUCUUUGAUUAAUCGAAUGGUGAAGCUAUAUUGUUUGACAGACUAUUUAUUUUGUUUUCCAUUUACUUUGCCUAUACUAUUUAUUACCUACUAAAAUCUCUGAUAUUGAUAUGGCCAUUUUUAUGGAAGUAGGACGUGCUACUUUAUUUACUAUUCCAUUUACUUCAUCUAGGUGAAUCGAACGCUUCCAUCUGAGCUAGCAGAGAAAAUAGUGCAAGACUGAUGCACAGUUGCUACUAAUCAAGUAUUGUUCAAUCAAUAUUUAGUUUUCAGUUUGCUUUUUAAUUGGACCAUAUUGUUCUCUUAUAAUAGGUAAUGACUUGAAACUUCCUACACUAGAAGGGAUAGUUAAUGCUUGAAUCAUGUUAUUAUAUUUUCAUUAUGGGAGAACUUUUAAAAUAUACAGAUGAAAUCAGCAACACUCGGGCAAAAUAUGGACAUCAAGCAGGAGUAGAAAAUUUGUCAGAUAUUAUGCUCGGACUCUUUUUCUAUAAUCCAACGAUGCGAAAAGAGCACCACACAGAAACCAGAAAGAAGAAAUAUCAAAAACCAGCAACAACCUCAUCAGGAAAUAAACCACCAAUCCUUUGCCUUAAAUCCUAUGACCAUACGCCUUUUUUCAAUGUAUUAAAAGCUCUUCAAAUUGGUUUAAAGAUGGCGAACCAGGUUCGAUUAACUGUAAGAAAAAUUAAACAAAAACACACCAAUGUUGUGGAGCAUGAUCAGUUUUAGGCAAGAGCAGGAGACCAAAAUCAAUAUUGGAGCAAAAUUUGUCCAAAUUCAUAAACUCAUCCCUGUGGUUUAUUACAUAAAGCAAUAGUGUCCUAUUUUAAAUAAAUUCAUGUUUCCAGAUAAAUCACCUAAAAGAGUUAAGAUAUUAAGUGACUCCAAUGGACAUGCUCUUACAGUUUAUGCAAAAUGAUGAUUGCCCCAUUCUUUGGCAUCAAAGUAAGCACCAUGGUAGGAAGAUGCGCAUAAUUAGGAGAAAGUUCAAAUGAGAAAUUCUGCAGCAACAAUGAUAUUGCUAUCUUUGCUUCUAAUAAGGUAAAGUUUUGUCCAAGACAAAUUCUAGGACCCCAUCCAAAGGGGAAAUAAGAAACUUGUCCUUUUGUUGCCUUCGCAAUUCCUUCAGCAAACCUUUCGGGUUUGAACUCCUUUGCAUCAUCCCCCCAUAGAUCUUGAUCAUGGUGAAUCAAUACUAUUGGUAGGGCAACAUUUGUUCCUGUGGGCAGCAAAAGUUUUCCAAGUUUCAAAUCCUUUUGAACAGCUCGAUUGAAGUAAAUUACAGGAGGGUAUAACCUUAGUACCUCGUACAAAAUCAUGGUAACCUAUAUGGAAACAAAAGAAUUAUCAGAUAGUACCGAAAAUGAUUAUGUAUUAAUAAUCAUCAAAAUGAAACUAUGUGAUUAAAAAUUAUCUUCUUGUGUCCAAUUUUCACGUGACAUUAAUAAGGAGAUUAUGAAUCUCUCUCUCAAUAAUUGACAUGAUGUCCCUAAUUUCCACAAUUUCCACCCUCCAGGCAUGGUCCUAGCGGGGAUUCAUACGAAUUCAUCUACUACCUAGGUUGACUUAUUUUAUACAAGGUUCGAACCAGAAACCUCAAAUUUGAAAUCACCCCAAUAAUAUCAGUAAAAAAAGAGAUAGAUACAAACUUUAUGUGCCAAGAUCAUUUGAAAUUUGAUUUGUAAUUUGAACAUAAGAGUAAGUAAUACAUACAGUUUUAAGUUGACUUAAUCCUUCGCUGUUUGGAUUUUGGUUCCCAAAAACUUGCAAAACUUCCUGCCUUGCACGUUCUUGCCAUUCAGGAUACCUGCCUAAUAACACCAUUGUCCAAACCAGCAAACUUGAAGUGGUCUCUUGCCCAGCAAGGUAAAACAAUUUGCAUUCAUCUAUCACAUCAUGGGUGGUCAUCCCAAUAUUCUUACUAUUUCCAUGUCCUUGUUUUUCGGCAUGAUUUGAUUGCAAAAGAAUGCCUAAUAAAUCAUCAUUGGUGGCUUCACCAUUCUUCAGUGCUUCUUCUCGUUUUUCAAUGAUUCCCUCAAGUGAAUCACGGAUAUCUCUUUCAAUCUCUUUCAUCCUCCUCUCGGCAGUUGUUGGUAGAAGCCUAGAAAGCACAUUUAUUUAGUGAUGUUAAAUGUGAAGGAAUGCACUUGUUUAAUAAUAUUAGAUUAUAACUUGGGAUGAGAAAUACAGUAAAACAAAAUAUGUAGUUAGUUUUUUUUUUUUUUUUUAAGAAAUGCAUAGAGUUAGUUAUAAAUCAAGUUUCUUGCACAUUCAUUAUUUAGAGUUAUAUGUCACACAUUAGACCUCUUGUGUCCCAUGGUUCCUUUGUCUAGCAUGUUAUGCUUCAGACAACAAAGACUACAGACAUGUAGACAUCAAUCACACAGGCAUAUUAGCAGGCUAACAACAUACAUAAGCUUUCAAACCCACUUCUGGUUAUGUACAAUUAAACUUGAAACACAGUGAUAGUAUACUUGAUAAUGAUAAAAUAAUGGUUAAGGUAGUUUAUAUUAGAAAGGGGUUAUAGGUAGGUAUAUUGUACUAGUUAGAUAUUAAGUAGUUAUUGUCUAAUUGUUGUAGUUAUCUUAUUGUGUGCAUGUAUUAGUAUAUCUAAGGAUUGUAUUAUCUCAUUGUGAAUAUGAAUGAAAAAUAAUAUGCUAAAGAUUAAUAGUGAUACCGCCAUAAUGGAAUGUUCGUGCGUGGUGCUGUCAUCAAAAUAAAUCCCUGCUUCUUUAGAAGUUGAAAUAUUUUUGCUCCUUCUGCAUAGCUGCUUCCAAAUGCUGUUCUAGAAAUUACAUCACAGGUCAAAUUCUGAAGGAAAGGCCAAACAUCAAGCUCACAUGUUCCAUCUGAUGACAAUAAUCCCUUCCAUUUGCUUAUCAUUUCAUUGCAACUGUGAGAAAAUGCAGGCAGCAUACCCUACAGUAUAAAGUAAAUCAUAUUAUAAGAAGAAAAUUUAGAAAUUCAAUUACAAAAUUGAAAUAAUUAGCUAGAGCAAUAACCUUACUUUCAAUUUUUCUAUGUGGAAUGCCGGAUUGACUAUCUUUCGAUGUUUAGCCCAUUUCUCACCCUCUUGGUGUGCUAUACCAACACCGAAAUACUUGGAAAUGGAGAUGAACUUUGAUUUGGGGAAGUCCUCCAUCCUGUUAAAGAUUUCCUUAAUUUGAUCAGGGUCUGUGAUGAUAACACUUGGUGUUGCACCGUCCCAUAAAAAGGAAUUCUUUCCUGCAUAUAUAUCCUUUAUGUUAGAACAACAAAUUAAACCCGACUCCAAAGUAAACAGAUAGAUAAACGCGCAAGAAUGCAAUGCUUGAUUACAAAGUUCUACCAAUUGUGUUUACGUCUCAGAGAGCAAUGUGGCAGUUGUAAUUUUCUAUUAUGCAAUGCUUAAGAUUACAUAGUACAAGAUAAGUUUAAAUACUUCGCUAAGCUCGUUGCUCUUUCAGCUUUACUUGCUCUAUUAUGCUAGAGCAUCUUCCCACUUAUCAGUGAAUAUAAACCAUACUUAACACUUGACUUAUGGAGGACUGGAUAUCUAUUUGUGAUUUGAUAUUAACAUCAAGUCCAUUUCAUGCAUGUUUGGCCCUUGCAUCUGAUAAUAUAAACUAGGUCAAAUGCAUCUAAAGGUCCUUUAAGUUGUUCGUUUUUCCCAAAGUGGUCCUUUAAGUUUCAAAAGUUCCAAACAAGUCCUUUUAAGUUUCAAAAGUCUCAAACAAGUCAUUUUAGUUUUUGAAUCGUUUCAAACAUGUCCUUUUAGAGGAUGAUGGUGAUUAUCCACCAUUUGCCAUGCCUAAAAAGAUGACUAAUUUUAAGUGGGUGUUAGGAGCCAGAUUUGGUACCAAAGAUGAGUUCAAGGAAGCAAUUACCAACUAUGCUAUCUACAAUAGGACUUGUUUGAAACGAUUCAAAAACUAAAAGGACUUAUUUGGAGCUUUUGAAACUUAAAGGACCACUUUAGGAAAAAUGAAAAACUUAAAAAACCUUAAGAUGCAUUUGACCUAUAAACUAAACUCCUAGUUGUGAAGAUUUAGAAAGGAAUUUAGUAUAUGUACCAUAUUUGUGGACAGCUUCAUGAAGAGUUGAGAAGAUAGAUGGUGCAACUUCUUUGGAGAGACCAAUGGAUUUAGAUUUAUCUUCUUGUUGUAACUUCAACAUAUAAUUUUGUUUUGAUUUGUCCUUUAAUACUGAAAGGUUAUAUGGUUCACCUUGAAGACCUUGACCUUUGAGAAGCUUCUCUAACCUCUUUGGCUUAAGCCAAAAAUUGUUGAACAGAUCCCAUGGAAGCACAGCAAGUAGAACUGACAGAACACAGAUGAUUAUUGUUGUUCCUGUGGGAAACACAAACACCUCCAUUUUAGAGUGACAAGUUUUUGCUCAACAUGAAAAUAUGAGAAAUUGUGAAGCAUCAAAAUAGAUCUUUAUCUUUUUUUUGGACGGAUAUCUGCGGAAGAUUCUUUUUCAUGUCGGUAUUGUACUGAGAUUUUUUUCUCGAUCUGGUGUGAAUCCGAGAUCUUAUCUAUAUUAUGUCUUCAUCAAAUGAGCUAAGCUCACGAUUAAAAUAAAGAUACUUGAAUUACGCUUCUCUUUCCUAUUAUUUAAAACAUAUUAGUAAACAUUCCAUUCCUCUCUUCUAAAAAAAACUUGAAUUACAUUCAUCUUCUCUCUUAUGUUAAAAUUUACACUUUACUCCCUCAAUAUUUUUUUUAACAUAAGAGGGGAGAGAGGAGUGUANAUUUUACUUUUCAAAGGAAGAGAAGUAUAUAUUUUAACAUAAGAGGGGAGGAGUAUAAUUCAAUCAUCUUUAAGAGUACGGGAAUGUAAUUUACUCAAAAAUAAAAAGUAAAUAAAAAAAUAAAAGGUAAAUGAUAACUACAAUAAUUCAACCAAUUUUAAUCCAAUAAUAACUACAAUAAGCAACCUAUAUUUGACCCCACUAAUUUGUGUUCUUUUAAUAUUUUUUUCAUUUUCACUUAAUUUGAUUCAAAUUUAAACCCACGGUAUAGACUUCACUUCCAUCAUUCUUCAAUCAAUUUUCAAUCUCUCACCAUUUUCAAAUUCUCCUUGGAUCAAUCUACUUCACCAGCACAUUUUAAUUCGAUUUUUCUUUUUCUGGAUCUAUAAUUUCCUUCCUCCAUUAUUUUUAGAUCUACCAUUUGUUUUUGUAUUCUUUAGCAUUCGUGAAUUAAUCUGUGGAGAAAGUGUGUCUUUGAGACAUUUUCAUGUCUCUGUUCUCUUAUUUUUUUCAAAUUUUCAAAUUUUCUGUUGAGAAUUCAACAAGGUUUUAUUAUUUUUUAAUGGCAAGCAACACACUUUAUGCAUUACUUAAAUAAGCAACUGACACAAAGAAAUAAACAAUGAGAACUUCAGCUGGAUCUCCUCCAACGCUCCAGAACUUAAGGGACGGAACCUUCACAUCCAGCUAGGCAAUAAACAACCUGCAUUGAAGAUGCCCUAAGAAUAUCUUCAAUGAAAAGUCAUUUAUUUAGUUAGCAAAGACCUCUAUUAGAGAAGAAAAAAGUGGGUGUUUAUUAGUUCCGGGUAAAUUAUAUAAGGACUCACUCUUCAAUUUCACAACAUUUCUCUUUUCAAUUUAUUUUUACUUUCUAAAUGCACAUGUUAAAAUACAUAUUAGUGGACUCAUUUAAAGAUUCCUUUUAGUUUAGUAUUAUUGAAGUUAUUGAGUUUUUAAUAAAUACUUUUAUUUAAAAAUAAAAAUAAAUGACGUUGGAAUUUAUUUAAAGAUUCUUUUUAGUUUACUAUCAUUGUGGAUACUUCAAAGGGAUUUGUUAAUAAACUUAAAAGAGAAAGUUUAUUUUAGGAUUGUUAUAUUGAAAACCUUGAAACUUUAAAAAUGUAAUUUUUAUACAUCAAAUUUAUAAUCUAUUUAUAUUUUUUACUUCUUAAUUAGUGUCCUAAGAACACUUAUUAGUUUAACCCAAAAUAAAAAAAUAGUUCAAUUUUGUACAAAAAAGAAUAAAAAAUAGUUCAAUUUUACAUUUGUUAAUAUUAUGCAUACAACUUUGACUUUUGUUUCUUAACCUCAAUUCUUAAAAAAUAAAAAAUAAAAAAAAUCUAUUAAUUCGGAGUUCGGUUGAAGAAAAAUAAAAUUUUGUCAAAUAUUUUUUCAGCCAAUAAUCGAAUCCAAAUAACCCAACAAUCAUAAUUUUCUCAACUUUUAAUCUGGCCUGACCUUAUCCAAAUACAACUAUUUAUGAUAGGGUGAAGAAUUCGCUAAAUGAGACGUCAUAGAUUGAUGAACAAUUCGUGGGUGGACAUAAAGAUUUGGACACUUCAUUUGAUCAACACGCAUAAAAAGAAAAAGUCUUAAUUAAAUAAUCAUUAAUUUUAAAAAGAUUUUAGCAUUUAUACUUUUUUGUGUGUGACCGAAUGAAGUGGCAAAAUUCUUGUGUUCAUGUAAGAAUUAUUUUAGAUUGAUAGCUUUGAAAAGAAUGACCAGAAAUCAAGUUGAUGACAUUCUGCUAAAGGUGGGAGUGAACAAAUGUUAGCUAAUAAGGAAGCUCUGGGAGGAUGAUUCUCAAACAUGCUCAGUCACAUGGACUUAGAUGAUCUCAGAUGGAAUCUUAAGCGUCAUUUGCUUCCUCAUCUUGAUGAAUCUGCCAGAGAUCUAUAUGUUUGUGUCUGAUACUCCUAUAGUGCUUCUGAAGCUUGAUAACAUAGUUAUCUCUGACUCUGACCCAAGACCUCAGAACUCUGCUGAGUUUGUGUCUGCUACUGAGUUUCAACAUUCUUAGCGGAUGUUAGAGCUGAAUUGGCUUCUCGACAUGUUGUUCAAAUUUAAAUGCAGAACCAACUUAAAGGGCAAUUAGAGACUCAAGUUGUAGUGAAGACUCAACCUAUGAAGCACGGACACCUCUUGAACCAGCCGUAUUACGGUGUCCGACACUCCUAUGACACUCGUACGACACGUAUCAGACAACUAAAAUCGGUGUCCUAAAUAAAAUUGUUUUUUCUUUAAUUCAACACUCUUAAGACCGGUGUCUGACACCUAUAUAACACUUAUAAGAGCCGUGUGUCGGACAACUAAGACGAAUAUCUGAAAUAUUUUUUUCUCUCUUGCUUCCACAUUCCGUAGAUACAAGAGUUACAUAUGUUUUGAAAAAUGUUGAUCAACUGGGAGGUUAUAGACAUAUAACAUUUUUAGCUUUUUUGAUAGUAGAUGAAUAAAUAAAUGUCAAAUACUGUGAUAUCUUGUUUUAUAACUUUUUCUAAUGAAAUAAUUUGCUCAAAUUAGAUACUUAUAUAUGUAUUUUGAUUUUCAUUUUAGACUAUCUAUAAAUAAAUUAAUAUAUACAUAAUGGUGUCGGUGUCCUAUAUUUUUUACACUAACAGUGUCGAAGUGUCCAUAUCAGUGUCGUGUCAGGUGUCCGUGUCGGAGUCCAUGUUUCAUAGGACUCAACUGGAUACCAUUCAGCAGCUUCUAAUGACUCUAGUCUCCUAGGAACCCUUUGUUUUUUAAUUUGAACUCUUUAUCACUUGUAUUUAUUUUCUCAGUAUCUUUAAUACAAAUAGUUCUUUUUGUUGAUAACAAAAGGGAGAGUAUAAGAAGUAUAUUAUUAUUUGCUAAAAUUGUCUAAUAAUAUGAUCUUGUAGAAUUUUUAUGCUUCUUAUGCUUAUAAGUCUUAGGAGGGUGCAUACAUGGAAGUGAAAUUGACAAUCAUGUAUCCUAGCUUUUUUUUUUUUUUACGUUGUAUCCUAACUUUAAAUUGAACUAUUUACUUCACUUUUUUUUUUUUUUUUUCAGGUUAUGGUUUUUAUGUGGUGCAUUUAUAGAAAGGAAGAGGAGAUGCAGUCACAUCAAUAACACCAGUGCAAUAUUGCACAUGAUAACCAGCAGUAAAUAUAGACAAGUUUUGAACAAAGCAGCAAUAUAGACAAGCAACGCUAGCAGAAAACAAAAUCAGCAACACUCGAAGAAAAAUAUAGACAUUAGGAGUAGAAAACCUAGGACCCAUUUAUCUUUGAUCCGACGACAUUAAAAAAGCAAUAACGAUUAACCACCAUCGUUAACAAAUUUGUCGCAAUUUAUAAACUCAUCAAUGUGGUUUCCUACAUGAAGCAAUAGUGUCUUAUUCUAAAGAAGUUAAGCUACUAAGUAACUCCAUUAGAUAUGCUCUUACAGUUUAUGCAAAAUGAUGCUUGCCCCAUUUUUUGGCUGCAAAGUAAGCACCGUGAUAGGAACAUGCACAUAAUUAGGAGAAAGUUCGAAUGAGAAAUUCUGCAGCAACAGUGAUAUUGCUAUCUUUGCUUCUAAUAAGGCAAAGUUUUGUCCAAGACAAAUUCUAGGACCCCAUCCAAAAGGGAUAUACGAAACUUGGCCUUUUGUGGCCUUUGCAAUUCCUUCAGAAAACCGUUCAGGAUUGAACUUCUUUGCAUCAUCACCCCAUAGAUCUUGAUCUUGGUGAAUCAAAUGUACUGGUAGCGAAACUUGUGUUCCUCCAGGUAACAAAAGGUUUCCAAGUUUCAAAUCCUUUCGAAGAGCUCGGACUAAGCCAAUUAUAGGUGGGUAUAACCUUAGUACCUCGUACAGAAUCAUGGUAACCUAUGGAAUCAGAAAAGAUUAUGUAUUAAUAUUCAUCAAAAUGAAAUUGUGUGAUUAAAAACGAUCUUCUCACGUCAAAUUUUCAAGUGAAAUUGCUAAGGGUGAUUAUAUAUCUCUCUUUCGACAAUUGACAUGAUCUCCCCUAAUUUCCACAAGUUCCCCACUCCGGGGGAUUCAUGGUCCUAGCGGGGGUUCAUACCAAUUCAUCUCCGACCUAGGUCGACUUACUUUAUACAAGGUUCGAACCAGAAAGCUCAAAUUUGAAAUCACCCCUUUUAUAUCAGUAAAGAGAGAGAUAGUUACAAAACUUCAUGUACUAAGAUCAUUUGAAAUUUAAACAUGAGAAUAAUCGAUACGUACAAUUUUAAGUUGACUUAGUCCUUCGAAGUUUGGAUUUUGGUUCCCAAAAACUUGCAAAACUUCCUGCCUUGCACGUUCUUGCCAUUCAGGAUACCUGCCUAAUAACACCAUUGUCCAAACCAGCAAACUUGAAGUGGUCUCUUGCCCUGCCAAGUAAAACAAUUUGCAUUCAUCGAUCACUUCUUGAGUGGUCAUUCCAAUACUCUUACUAUUUCCAUGUCCUUGAUUUUCGGCAUGAUUUGAUUGCAAAAGCAUGCCUAGUAAAUCGUCAUUGGUGGUUUCACCGUUCCUCAGUUCUUUUUCACGUUUUCUAAUGAUUCCCUCAAGUAAAUCACGGAUGUCUCUUUCAAUUUCUUUCAUCAUCCUCUCGUUAGUUGUUGGUAAAGGCCUGAAAAAUACAUAUAUCCAGUGUUGUUAAUUGUGAGGAAAGGCACUUGAUUAAUGUCAUAGUAUAAUAAGUGCAACAUGGUUCAAUUAAUUGCGUACUUUGAAUUACGUCUAACAACAUGUAGAAGCUUUCUAACUUGCUUCUGGUUAUGUACAAUUAAACUUGAAACAUAUUUAACAACUUUAUAUGUUAUUUUGUACCAUAAUGGAGUGUUCGUUUGUAGUUCUUUCAUCAAAAGAACUCCCUGCUUCUUCAAAAGUUGAAAUAGUUUUGUUCCUUCUGCGUAGCUGCUUCCAAAUGCUGUCCGAGAAAUUACAUCACACGUCAAAUUCUGAAGGAAAGGCCAAACAUCAAUCUCACAUGUUCCAUCUGAUGACAAUAAACCAUUCCAUUUGCUUAUCAUUUCAUUGCAACUGUGAGAAAAUGCAGGCAGCAUACCCUAUAGUAUGAAGUAAAUCAUAUAAUAAGAAGAAAAGUUAGAAAUUCAAUUUGCAAAAUUGAAAUAAUUAGCUAAGUAAUAACCUUACUUUCAAUUUUUCUAUAUGGAAUGCCGGAUUGACUAUCUUUCGAUGUGUAGCCCAUUUCUCACCCUCAUGGUGUACUAUACCAACACUCAAAUACAAGGCAAUGGGUCUUAACUUUUGUUUGGGGAAGUCCUCAGUCUUGUUAAAGACAUCCUUAAUUUGAUCAGGGUCUGUGAUGAUAACCCUUGGUAUUGUACCUUCCCAUAAAAAGGAAUUAUUUCCUGCAUAUCCUUUAUGUUAGAACAGCAAACCCAAUUCUAAAGUGAACAGAUAAAUAAACGCACAUGAAUACAAUGAUUGAUUACGGAGUUCGGCCAAUUGUGCCUACAUCCCUGAAACCAGAGUAGUGGUUGUAAUUUUUUAUUAUGCAAUCUCUUCAUUAAAAACUCUCGUUAUCCGACAAGACAAGCGUUUAGUUUUAAAAAACUCUUGUGAUACGACAAGCGUGUAGUUUAUAUUAUCUCUGACUAUCCUCAGUCUGAUCAUUUCUCAUUACUAUAAAAUCUACAUUUCUUCUCUCUACACACCAAAACCACCUAAACCCAUUUUUCACGAUCUUUUCUACUAUAGGUGCUGCCCACCCCAACUCUAUCUCUAAUUUUUCAUUUCUAAUCUUAUCUCAUAUCUUCUUAUCACACAUCCAACACAACUUCUUCAUAUCUACUACACUGAUUUUAUUCUUAUGCCAGUUCUUCACCACCUAACACUCUAUUCCAUACAGCAUCGUCAGUCUUAUAUCUAUGCGAUAAAAGUUUCCCUUCAACUUGAGUGGUACUUUCGUAUCACAUAAAACACUGAGGCUGUUGUAAUCAAAAUUUCAAGACUUUUAUGAUUUUCCUUUUAGUUAAGGAUCUAGACAUAUAUUCUACCGACCAUGAUUUGAGAUGUGUUAUCAUGAUUUUUGACAUCUCUACGACUUCAAUUGAACCCGUAGUAAACUUCCAUCGAGUGCAACAUCGAUGGCCAUGUCUACUUACGGAUUUGAUUAAGUUAUAAAUGGAGGACAACUCAUUGUUUUAUUUUUAACUCUCUUGUUCUCGAGAAAAUGCAACUCUGGUAAAUCGGAGUUCGACUAAUAUAUAGGUAAGUAAUACUUGUCUUUUGGAUUGAGUUAGAACAAAGCCCAAGUUUAGAGUCUAUCCUAAGGAAGCAAAUUUCCCCACCUCCCACAUUUCUAAAAAUUCACAUAUGUUUAUGAAAGCAUACUUCCAAACAAUAUAUUUUGUCCUAAAGUGUACUUUGGUUAAAUAAACAAAAUAGAAAGAUGUACGUACCAUAUUUAUGAAGAGUUUGAUGAAAAGGUGAGAAGAUAGAUGGAGCAGCUUCUUUGGAGAGACCAAUGAAUUUAGACUUAUCUUCGUGUUGCAACCUCAACAUAUAGUUUUGUUUUGAGUUGUCUACAAAGAAUGGAAGCUUAUAUGGUUCACCUUGAAGACCUUGAGCUUUGAGAAGUUUUUCAAACCUCUUUGGCUUAAGCCAAAAAUUGUUGAAGAGAUGCCAUGGAAUCACAGCAAGUAGAACUGUUAGAACAAAGAUGAUUAUUGUUGUUGUUGUGGGAAACACAAACACCUCCAUUUUAGUCAGCUUUGAUAUUGAAACACAUACAAAUAUUAGACUUGCACCGUUUAUGGCAUUUAUACGGUAAACAAUGUUUUUUUUAAGGAACGUUAAACAUUGUUUUGUUUUGCCACUUUUAAAAAUAUUAUAUAUAUUAAUAUAGAGUAAGACUUUUAAAAACAUAUAUAUUUCAUUAAUCACUCUGAUUACAUACAUUAACCACAAUAAUGCAAGUAACUACCUAUUUAUUUAUUUUACAUAGUUUAGAAAAAACUGAUAAAAAUAUAUAGAUUUUGUUUAUUAUAAGACGUGUUAGCUUGUGUAAGUACCACGCUACAUUUGAGUACCACGCUACAUGCGAGUACCACGCUACUAAGAUACUGUAAUUAGCUUUGCUCAUGUCGUCAUGCCUAUUUUGAAGAUCCUUUCCAUUCUCAGACAAAUGAGAUUUUACUCCUUCCAUCUCAUCUCAUACUAAUAAUUAACAUUUAACAUAGUUCAACUUUUCUACUUAACAUAAAAAAUAGUUCAAUUUUACAUAUGUCGAUAUACAUAUGACUAGGGAUGCGGAAAAAAAACUACGAGCCGAACCAUCCAACCUAACCAUCGAAUUGACCGAACCAUUAUAAUAGUUCGUGAACCGUAUAAUUAAUUUAAUAACAGUUAAUAAACCAUAACCGAACCGUUUUAAAUUCCAAACCGAACCAUUAGCAAAGCACAAACUUAAUAUUUUAAUAGUGAAGAUUUAUUUUCUCUUUUAUCAUGCAUUAUCAUUGAAAGUUGUUGAUGUUUUUGUUGAUAUUCCUAUAAUACAACUUGUAAAAUCACAAGAAAUUAAUAAAAAGUCUUGAUACUUUUUUGGAGGAUAAAAAUUCUUAACACUUGUGGCACAAUUCCAAUUUAUGAAAAAGAAUAAAAAAACAAUUUGGUUCGCAAAAGGAUAAGAAAAUACAUUUUUAUUCAAAAUAUUAUUUUAGGUUCGGUUCAAGGACAACAAAAUGGUUAACCGAACAAUAAUUUUAGUUUGGUUCGAUUCCUCGCAAAACUCAAAUGGUUCGGUUCAAUUUUUCAAACCGUUAACACGGUUUUCUUCAAAAACCGAACCAUACCCACCCCUACAUACAACUUUGACUUAUUUUGUGUGUUAAUCCCCAACUCUUAAGGGGAAAGGGGCUUACUAAUUUGAAGUUUGGUUGAAUGAAAAUGAAAUUUUGUAAAGAAUUCUUUCAUUUAUGUAUCAAAUCCAAAUUCUCUUGAACAUGCAACUUUGAAUGUUUAAUUAUUAUUAAUUAGCAAGAAAUAUAGAAAAAUGUAAUUUUGAAAAUAGUUAUUGAAACAAAUCAAACAUCCAAUAUAUAUUAACGUUUGUCUUUAUAUUUUUGUAAAAUUAAGAAUGUAUUUAUAUGUUAAUAAAAAAAAAUUGUCAAACUAGAUUAUGAGAACAUUGCACAUGAUUAAAUCGUGUCAAUUAAUUUGAGACAUAGAGUAAUAUUUAUAUGUUCUCAUAAGAGCACAAAAAGUUAUUUAUGUAAGAUUUAUUCUCAAGUUUUCUUAAACAAUUAUGUUAAUUACAGUUUUGGUUCCCUUAUUUUCAUUUGCUCACGGAAUUAGUACUUCUAUUUUAAAACCAUUCAGUUUUGGUCUAUCUUUCAAUUUUUUUUUAACUAAAUGGUGACAUGUUAUAUUUAUAUUGAAGCUUUUUUUUUUUUUUUUUUCUGUCUAGUAGCCUAGUGGUUAGAGCUCACACAAUUAAAUGUGGAGAAGUGGGGUGUCCGAGGUUUGAACCCCGGUCCCUGUAUAAAUUAUGCAAUGUCCCUACCAACUGAGUUAAGCUCACGAAGACUUUAUAUUGAAGCUUUUAAGGAGAUCUCAAGUGAUUCCAUGGGUAUUGAUCAUUAUGUGUCGUUAGAGCAUAUGACAUGUAGUUUAAAAUAUAUCACAUCACCAUAUUUUUUAGUCUAAAUAUUAGAGAAAGAGACCAAAAUUAGAUAAUUUUCAAACCAAUUUCGUGAGUAAAAAUAUGGGAGUCAAAAAUGUAAUUAAGUCUAAACUAUUCGAGUUUAAAUGAAACACAUUAGUUUAUUGAGCUUAAUUGCAUGGUUGACUAAUCAUUAUUGAUUUAAUAAAUAUAAGAAAAUAAAAUAUAUUAAUAAAAUGGGAGAUGGGUAACAAGAGUACCAGUUGUACUCCUUAAAAAACAAAAAACAAAAAAAAAAAAGAGUACUAGUUAUUGGGAAAAACCUAAGUUCAACGUCGAAUAGAUAAGACUCUCGAGAAGAGUUUAUAAAGAUGAGGCAAUCAUCACCUUACAAAUCCGGUUUUCUAAGGAUGAGUUAGGUCCCAAAUUUCAACAUGUUAUCAAAGCUUGUCGAAUUCAAGGGCCACCUACCUAUUCACGCACCAAGCCCAAAGACUGUUGGGCGUGAGGUGGGUGUAUUGGGAAAAACUCAAGUCCCACAUCGGAUAGAUAAGACUCUUGAGAAAAAUUUCAAGCCUAGUUGUACUUUAUUUCAUAGGUGGGUUUAGCCACUUGUACUUACCGUUGUACUUUGAUGCUAUCUGGGGCAUUGCAUCUGAGUUAAUCAUUUCACAUUUUUUAUAGUUUUGAUAAAACCGUUUUACUUUGAUUGCUGUACACCAUGGGAUUUUAAGCUUGCAGGCCCUGUCAUUUUAUUUGAUCAUGCAUAGUUUGAUAAUUGAUACAGUGGGAUGUGUUCAAACCAUCUUUGUUGUGGAAGGAUAGAAUAAACUUUUGCCUUGUAACUGUUUUUUCGCCGAAAAACAAAACAGGAUUGCAGCUGGCACAGGACAAAGGCCGAAAGGCAACAGCCAAACUAAAAAUAGAAGAACCCCAAAACUGUCCUCUAAAACAGGCAAACAGCAGACCAACAAAACGCCAACCUGCUGCAGAACCAUAACAGAAAACCCGUUGACAGUAACUGUUAUUCUGCUAUUAUUAUUUUAACACUUUCAUUUUACCUAAAGCUCUCUACAUUUUAUUUUCUAUUGAAACAACAUCAAUAACAAAGAGACAUCACUGCAACAACAUCAAUAACACCAGUGCAACACUAUAGACAGGUUUUGAAUAAAACAGCAAUAUAGACGAUAACACCAACACUAGCAGAAAACGAAAUCAGCAACACAGGGCAAAAUUAUGGAUAUCAGGAAUAGAAAAUAUAUCAAACACUUUUUCUAUAAUCCAACGACGCCAAAAUUGCAACAAACAAAACCAGCAAGCAGCUAUAUCAAAAUGUGACAUCCUCGUCCAGGAAAAAAAAAAACACUAAUCACCUGUCUAUACAAUUUCUUUAAAGAUGGUGAACCAGCUUCGAUCUUAACAGCAAAAAUAAUUAAAGAAAAACUCAACAAUUUCCUUUUUUUCAAUAUAAAGCUUCAGGUUUUUGAACCCUUUAAUGACAACAGUGUCGUGGAACAUGAUCAGUUUUCGGCUACAACUGAAGACCAAACUCAACAUUAAUUCAUAAACAAGCCAACCUUAAUAUUGGAGAAAAAUUGUCCAAAUUCAAAAACUCAUACCUGUGGUUUCUUACAUAAAGCAAUAGUGUCUUAAUUUAAAGAAACUCGUGUUUCCAAAAUCAUCACCUAAAAAAGUUAACCUACUAAGUAACUCCAUUGGAUGUGCUCUUACAGUUUAUGCAAAAUGAUGCUUGCCCCAUUUUUUGGCUGCAAAGUAAGCACCGUGGUAGGAACAUGCACAUAAUUUGGAGAAAGUUCGAAUGAGAAAUUCUGCAGCAACAAUGAUACUGCUAUCUUUGCUUCUAAUAAGGCAAAGUUUUGUCCAAGACAAAUUCUAGGACCCCAUCCAAAAGGGAAAUAAGAAACUUGUCCUUUUGUUGCCUUCGCAAUUCCUUCAGCAAACCUUUCAGGUUUGAACUCCUUUGCAUCAUCACCCCAUAGAUCAUGAUCUUGGUGAAUCAAUAGUAUUGGUAGGGAAAUUUGUGUUCCUUCAGGUAGCAAAAGGUUUCCAAGUUUCAAAUCCUUUCGAAGAGCUCGGUUGAAGUAAAUUAAAGGUGGGAAUAACCUUAGUACCUCGUACAAAAUCAUGGUAACCUACAGAAACAAAAACAAUUAUCAGAUAGUACCAAAAAGGAUUAUGUAUUAAUAAUCAUCAAAAUGAAAUUGUGUGAUUAAAAAUGAUCUUCUUGUGUCAAAUUUUCAUGUGACAUUGUUAAGGGUGAUUAUGUAUCUCGCUCUUUUAACAAUUGAAAUGAUCUACCCUAAUUUCCUUAUUGGAUGAAUUUCCACUACCUAGAUGGGAUUCAAACUUCAUCUCCUACCUAGGUCAACUUAUUUUUUACAAGGUUCAAACCAGAAAACUCAAAUUUGAUAGUACAUCUGCACACAUUCAAUCACUUCUGACCUAGUGCAGCAUCAUUAAGCCAACUCACAAGUGCAAACCCCGCUAUGGUUAUGAUUCACCCCUUUAAUAUCAGUGAAGAGAAAGAUAAAUACAAAACUACAUGUGAUAAGAUCAUUUGAAAUUUGAACAAUACAUACAAUUUUAAGUUGACUUAAUCCUUCGUUGUUAGGAUUUUGGUUCCCAAAAACUUGCAAAACUUCCUCCCUUGCACGUGCUUGCCAUUCAGGAUACCUGCCUAAUAACACCAUUGUCCAAACCAGCAAACUUUAAGUCGUCUCUUGCCCAGCAAGGUAAAACAAUUUGCAUUCAUCUAUCACAUCUUGGGUGGUCAUCCCAAUAUUCUUACUAUUUCCAUGUCCUUGUUUUUCGGCAUGAUUUGAUUGCAAAAGAAUGCCUAAUAAAUCGUCAUUGGUGGUUUCACCAUUCUUCAGUGCUUUUUCUCGUUUUUCAAUGAUUCCCUCAAGUGAAUCAUGGAUUUCUCUAUCAAUUUCUUUCAUCUUCGUCUUGGUAGUUGUUGCUAGAAGCCUAGAAAACACAUUUAUUUACUGAUGUUAAAUGAGAAGGAACGCACUUGGUUAAUAGUAUUAUAUUAUAAUAAAUGCAACGCAAUUCAUUUCAUUAGGUAUUUUGGAUUAAGUCUAACUCAACCAUACAGAUUUGUUGGGUAAAAUGAGUGGUACUCUUCUUUAUAAACUUUUUUCAGACUUUUUUUUCGAAGUCGGACAUGGGAUUUUGUUGAGUGUCUAAAGUUUUCAAAAACUAGAUCUAAAAUAUAACUUGGGAUAGGAAUACACUAAAACAAAAUAUGUAGUUAUAAAUCAAGUUUCUGGCACAUUCAUUAUUUAGACCUCGUGUGUCCCAUGGUUCUUCCGUCUAGCAUGUGAUGUUUCAGACAACGAAGACUACAGACAUGUAGACAUCAUUCACUCACAGGCAUAAUGGCAGGCUAACAACAUAUAGAAGCUUUCAAGUUUAUAUUUUAUUUUGCACUAGAGACUAUUUUCCUUGUCAAUAAAUAAUAAUGCGUAUGUCGUUCCCAAACAAGAAUAUACUUUCAAUUUGUCAAAUGUACCAAAAUGAUAUAUUGUGGUCAUACCCCCAUAAUGGAUUGUUCGUGUGUCGCCCUGUCAUCAAAAGAAAUCCCUGCUUCUUUAGAAGUUGAAAUAGUUUUGUUCCUUCUGCGUAGCUGCUUCCAAAUGCUGUCCGAGAAAUUACAUCACAGGUAAAAUUCUGAAGGGAAGGCCAAACAUCAAUCUCACAUGUUCCAUCUGAUGACAAUAAUCCCUUCCAUUUGCUUAUCAUUUCAUUGCAACUGUGAGAAAAUGCAGGCAGCAUAACCUAUAGUUUGAAGUAAAUCAUAUUAUAAGAAUAAAAAUUAGAAAUUUAAUUUACAAAAUUGCAAGAAUUAAUUAAAGCAAUAACCUUACUUUCAAUUUUUCUAGGUGGAAUGCUGGAUUGGCGAUCUUCCUAUGUUUAGCCCAUUUCUUACCCUCAUGAUCUAGUAUACCAACGUUCAAAUACUUGGCGAUGGAUCUUAGUUUUGGUUUGGGGAAGUCAUCAAUCUUGUUAAAGACAUCCUUAAUUUGAUCAGGGUCUGUGAUGAUAACCCUUGGUAUUGUACCUUCCCAUAAAAAGGAAUUCUUUCCUGCAUAUCCUUUAUGUUAGAACAACAAACCCAACUCUAAAGCAAACAGAUAAAUUAAAGCAUAGGAAUACAAUGCUUGAUUACAAAGUUCUACCAAUUGUGUCUACGUCUCUGAGAGCAAUGUGGCAGUUGUAAUUUUCUAUUGUGCAAUGCUUAAGAUUUACAUAGUACAAGAUGUGUUUAAAUACUUCCCUGCGCUCGUUGCACUUUCAGCUCUUCUGGCUCUGUUAUGCUAGAGCCUCUUCCUACUUAUCAGUGCAUAUAAUUCAUACUUAACACUUCACUUAUCAGUAACUUAUGGAGGACUUGAUAUCAAUUUGUGAUUUAAUAUUAACAUCAAUCAAGUCCGUAUCAUGUUUGGUCCUUGCAUCUGAUAAUAUAAACACAAACUCCUCCAGAACUCCGUUCUUUUCUUUUCAGUUACACAGGCAUAUUAACUAUGGCAUCAAAAAAUCAAAUCUCUAGACAUUUCUGAUUUUCUUGUUAAUAUCAGAUAUUCAAACAAAGUUUUAAAAAGUGUCUGUGACUGUGAUUUGAGUUGCAAUAUCAAAAUUUUGGAUAUUUCUUUGACCACAAUGGAGGCCACAUCAACUACACAUCACCACAAUAUCAAUGAUAGCACAUUGAUUGAGUUAUAAAUGGUGGACAACUUGUUAAGCUAGCUUCUGCACUGAGCUAGGACAACUCCCAAAUUCGAAGUCUAUCCUAAGGGCCGACUUUCUCCACUCCAAGUUUCUAAAAAUCCACAAAUAUUUUUGGAAAUGUACUUCCGGAAAACAUAUUUUGUCCGGCUUUCGAACAAACACAAAAUUCAUGCCUUUUUCCUACUGUAUACGUCUAGGGGUUGUGAAUAGUUCCUUCCUUAUCAUGAAUCUGUUGUCGGGGGUAGGGCUUUUUUUAAAUGACAGAUGUUAGGAUGUUGAUUGUUAGGUUAGUAUGUUCUCCUCAAACCUGACUUUAACUCCUCUUAGCUCAACCAAGUGAGCUACCCAUCCCUCCAAAGGGAGGUAGGGCUUGUUUUUCUUUUAUAAAUUAUACGCAAGCUAUAAAAUAUUGGCUUAAAUGUAUUUUUUACCCUUUAACUUUUAGAUUGGUGUAUAAACAAAAUAGAAAGUAAGAUUAGUAUAUGUACCAUAUUUGUGUACAGUUUGAUGAAUAGGAGUGAAGAUAGACGGUGCAGCUUCUUUGGAGAGACCAAUGGAUUUAGAUUUAUCUUCUUGUUGCAACUUCAACAUAUAAUUUUGUCUUGAUUUAUCCUUAAAUACUGAAAGGUUAUAUGGUUCACCUUGAAAACCUUGAGCUUUGAGAAGUUUCUCAAACCUCUUUGGCUUAAGCCAUAACUUGUUGAGAAGAUACCAUGGAAUCACAGCAAGUAGAACUGACAGAACAGAGAUGAUUAUUGUUGUUCCUGUGGGAAACACAAACACCUCCAUUUUAUGUUUUUGUCUUGGAAUUGGAUUGUGUCUUGUUGUGUUGUGUAAAAAGGUCAUUAAAGAGAUAUCUAAGGUGGUGGGGUCAUUCAAGUUCAACAGGGACACGUACACGUCUUUUCCAUUUUCCAUGUUGAAAAAAUAAGAGAGAGAAAAGAAAGGCUGAUGCCUGAUUGUCUCAAUUUAGUGUCUUAAUUAUAAUUUAUAUUAAUUUGGUCUCCUAUAUUUUUUACUAGUUUUAGUCCUUUAUGGUAGUUUCUCUAUAAAAAAAACGUUAACUUAUGUAUUAAAUUGAUCCCCGUUUUGCUUCGUUUUUAAUUUUAGUCCUUUCUGUUCACUUUUUUUUUGAGAGAAACUAAUGGAAAGUAUUAAAACCAGUAACGGAGCAAAUCAUAGAGGACCAAAUUAAUACAAAUUAUAGUUAGGGGAUCAAAUUGAGAGUGAUUUAACAAGCAAAAAAAACUUACCACUCUAAUAGUAAUAUAUCUAUUAAAAAAAGUGUUCGAUGUAUCUAGUUUACAAUAUUAUUUAUUAAAUAAAUUUACAAAGUUUGUACAUAGAAAAUAGGGUUAAUUAUAGAAAUUGAAUAUAUGUUAAGUUUAAAAAUGAUCUUGUAAAAUAAAAAGUAUAUAUUUUAAUAUUGUAAUUUGAGAUUCUUAUUAUUUUUGACUUUGUAAUAUAGUUGAAGUCCAAAAAAUUAUUUAGAGAUUGAAUUUUUUCAUGAUUUUUUUCACGUAUGUUUGGGACGUUAAAAUAUGACUUUACACAAAAAAAAUAAAAAAUUUCAACCGUGGAUGAAUCAAUUAUGAAUUUUUAAAGCGCCAAAAACUCAAAAAACAGAACAACGAAAACUUCAAUCUAGAAAUUGAAUUUUGAGUUGAUUGUUUGCAGAGACAUAUGCAGAUAUACAUAAAAAAGAUCUACAAAGUUUGGUACCAUUUUAAAGACGUUUCAAUUUAUUUUUAUUUUCAACCAAAACGUGUGAAAUAACAAUUUUGUUCCGGGUAAACGUAUACUCAUAGAUCAGGUUCAGUUCUCUAAUUUUGUAGGCAUGGUUAAAAUUUCAUAAGAACAUUCACCAUUAAAAUUAAAUUUUGGAGUUUUUAAACGAGAUACGAAUUAAUUAUGAAUUGUUUAAGAAAUUUUAUAGUUAUGGGAAAUAAAAAUUUGUCCCUAGUCUGAAAAAAUAUAUAUUUUUUUUUUUUGGUGUAAAAUCAUGUUUUAACAUCCUAAAGAUGCUUUUGAUUUGUUCAAAAAAAACAUCCUAAAGAUGCAUGGAAAAAAAAUCAUUAAAAAAUUCAAUCUCUACACCAUUUUUUCGGACCAUGCCUAUAUUAUAGGGUCAAAAAUAAGAAGUAUCUCAAAUUACAAGUUUGGAAUAUGUAUUUUUUUAUUUUACAAUGUCAUUUUUCAGACAUCGCAUAUUUCACAGAGUCAAAAUUAAAUAAUUAACCAAAAAUAAUAAUAUAAAAAGUAAACUUUCUUUUAUAAUACAUAUCGAAGAGACAUGUGUCUAAAUACCACAUGUGCCCGCGGCAAGAUAGUGGGUAUACACCGUUGCGGGUAAGGUUCCCUCGGUUAUUUGAGUUGGCGGUGGAGAAGGAGACUAAGGUCGAGGAGAUGAGGAGGAGGGGGUGGGACGUUAAUGGCAGGGCGUGGGUGUGGAGACGUCGUUUGUUUGUUUCGAAGGAGGAGAGUGUGAGGGAGUGUGCAACUCUUUUAUGCAACAUUGUUUUGCAGGACACUGUUCAAGACUCUAGGAGGUGGUUACUAGAUCCGGUUCAAGGGUAUUCGGUGAAAGCAUCAUAUCGUUUUAUUACAGAAACAGGCGCUACUGCGGACAGGUCUUAGGUUGAUGUUGUUUGGCCAAAGCAUGUACCGUCAAAGGUGUCUUUAUUGAUGUGGCGUCUUCUCCGCAACCGGCUUCCUACUAAAGAUAAUUUGGUUCAACGGGGUAUUCUUAUUCCAAGAGAUGGCAUGUGUGUGGGUGGUUGUAAUGUUAUAGAAUCAGCUACUCACCUUUUUUUAGCAUUGUAAUACUUUUAGUGCCUUGUGGUCUAAUGUGAGGACUUGGUUGGGAAUUUAUUCGAUGUUUCCUAGUGAGCUUCGACAACAUUUUAUUCAGUUUACCAGGAUGUCUUGCUUGCCAAGGUCGGUACAUUUAUUCUUAACAGUUAUUUGGUUUGCUACUAUUUGGGUGACUUGGAAGGAACAAAAUUAUCGUAUGUUUCAAAACACAACAGCUACUUCAUCGAUCAUUCUUGAAAAAGUCAAGUUGGAUUCUUUUUUAUGGUUGAAAUCUAAACAGGUAGCAUCUUGUGCGAUUUGAAAACACCUUUUAAUGGGCAAUUUGACAUUGUAAUUUUGUAACUUUGGUGGUGUGUCUCUUUUGCGCAUCUUUGUGCGAUUGAAAACACCUUUAAGUAUAUAUAUAUAUCAUUUUGAUUUGUUAAAAAAAUAUAUAAUGGAUAGUUUGUUUUGAAUUUUUUUAAAGAAAAAAAUUUAUUUUAUAAACAAAAAACGACUUUUAUGAUUUGUAGUGUUUUUUUUUUUAAGAUAUUUCAUUUUGUUUUUUGCUAUGAACUUGAAGAAAUUAUAAAUAGUCAUUCAAAUUCAAGCAUUAUCACAUACACUUUAAAGGUCUUUAAAUGUUAUAAUGUGGCUUAGGUUAAGACAGAAUAUAUUUAAAAAAGUAGCCUAACAAAAGAUGUGGAUUUAGAUACAAGCUACAAAUCUUCAAGAACGAAAAAGUACUACCAAAAUUUUAUUUCUUGGUUUUCCUUUUUUUCUUUUUUUUGUGUUGACCAAUUUUUGAUAGUUUAGUCUGCAAUUAUUUUUUUCUUUUUUCAUUUUUUUUAUUAGGAAAAUAUUUAUUCCACUAUUCUUGAUAUGUCCGUCUGCAUAUGAUAAGAUAUUUAUUCCACUUUGAUCCUUGACAAAAUCCAAAUCAUUGCAGCAAGAUCAGCAGCUAUCUAUUAUGAUCUCAAAUAACACCUCAUCCAGGAAAAAAAGUGACAACCAACAAGCAUCAACAUCAAAAAAAAUUGACAACCUCGUCCAGGAAAAAAAAUCAUAUUGGAGCAAUAUUAAUUCAUAAACAACCCAACCUUCAUAUUGGAGCAAAAUUUGUCCAAAUUCAUAAACUCAUACCUGUGGUUUCUUAUACAAAUCAAUAUGUCUUAAUUUAAAGAAACUCAUGUUUACAGAUAAAUCACCUAAAAGAGUAAAGCUACUGAAUAACUCCAUUGGAUGUGCUCUUACAGUUUAUGCAAAAUGAUGCUUGCACCAUUUUUUGGCGUCAAAGUAAGCACAGUGGUGGGAACAUGCACAUAAUUUGGAGAAAGUUCGAAUGAGAAAUUCUGCAGCAGCAAUGAAAUUGCUAUCUUUGCUUCUAGUAAGGCAAAGUUUUGUCCAAGACAAAUUCUAGGACCCCAUCCAAAAGGGAAAUAAGAAACUUUUCCUUUUGUAGCCUUUGCAAUUCCUUCAGCAAACCUUUCAGGUUUGAACUCCUUUGCAUCAUCACCCCAUAGAUCAUGAUCUUGGUGAAUCAAUAGUAUUGGUAGGGAAAUUUGUGUUCCUUCAGGUAGCGAAACGUUUCCAAGUUUCAAAUCCUUUCGAAGAGCUCGGUUGAAGUAAAUUAAAGGUGGGAAUAACCUUAGUACCUCAUACAAAAUCAUGGUAACCUAUAAAAACAAAAACAAUUAUUAGAUAGUACCAAAAAGGAUUAAGUAUUAAUAAUCAUCAAAAUGAAAUUUGAACAAUACAUACAAUUUUAAGUUGAUUUAAUCCUUCGAUGUUUGGAUUUUGGUUCCCAAAAACUUGCAAAACUUCCUGCCUUGCACGUGCUUGCCAUUCAGGAUACCUGCCUAAUAACACCAUUGUCCAAACCAGCAAACUUGAGGUGGUCUCUUGCCCAGCAAUGUAAAACAAUUUGCAUUCAUCUAUCACAUCUUGGGUGGUCAUCCCAUUACUCUUACUAUUUCCAUGUCCUUGUUUUUCGGCAUGAUUUGAUUGCAAAAGAAUGCCUAAUAAAUCGUCAUUGGUGGGUUCACCAUUCUUCAGUGCUUUUUCUCGCUUUUCAAUGAUUCCCUCAAGUGAAUCAUGGAUUUCUCUAUCAAUUUCUUUCAUCUUCGUCUUGGUAGUUGUUGCUAGAAGCCUAGAAAACACAUUUAUCUAGUGAUGUUAAAUGUGAAGGAACACACUUGGUUCAUAAAUGCAACACAAUUCAUUUCAUUAGGUACUAUGGAUUAAGUCUAACUCAACCGUACAUAUUAGUCGUGUAAAAUGAGUGGUUCCCUUGUUUAUAAACUUUUUUCAGACUUUUUUUUUAAGUGGGGCUUGGGAUUUUGUAAAGUGUUUAAAGUUUUCAAUUUGUCAAAUGUACCAAAAUAAUAUAUUGUAGUCAUACCCCCAUAAUGGAUUGUUCGUUUGUCGCCCUGUCAUCAAAAGAAAUCCCUGCUUCUUUAGAAGUUGAAAUAGUUUUUCUCCUUCUGCGUAGCUGCUUCCAAAUGCCGUCCGAGAAAUUACAUCACAGGUAAAAUUCUGAAGGAAAGGCCAAACAUCAACCUCACAUGUUCCAUCUGAUGACAAUAGUUCCUUCCAUUUACUAAUCAUUUCAUUGCAACUGUAAGAAAAUGCAGGUAGCAUACCCUAUAGUUUGAAGUAAAUCAUAUUAUAAGAAUAAAAAUUAGAAAUUUAAUUUGCAAAAUUGCAAGAAUUAUUAAAGCAAUAACCUUACUUUCAAUUUUUCUAGGUGGAAUGCCGGAUUGGCGAUCUUCCUAUGUUUAGCCCAUUUCUUACCCUCAUAAUGUAUUAUACCAACGCUCAAAUACUUGGCGAUGGAUUUUAAUAUUGGUUUGGGGAAGUCCUCGAUCUUGUUAAAGACUUCCUUAAUUUGAUCAGGGUCUGCGAUGAUAACUCUUGGUGUUGUACCUUCCCAUAAAAAGGAUUUUUUUCCUGCAUAUCCUUUAUGUUAGAACCGCAAACCCAACUCUAAAUAAACAGAUAAAUAAAGGCGCACACAAAUACAAUUCUUGAUUACAAAGUUCUACCAAUUGCUUCUGUGUCUGUGAGAGCAAUGUGGCAGUUGUAAAUUGUAAUUUUCUAUUAUGCAAAAAUGCUUAAGAUUUACAUAGUGCAAGAUGUGUUUAAAUCCUGCGCUACACUCGUUGCACUUUCAGCUCUUCUCGCUAUGUUACGCUAGAGCCUCUUCCCAGUGAUCAGUGAAUAUAUUUUUUUAUUCAUAACACUUCACUUAUAAGCAACUGGUAGAAAGAGGCUUUAACAACGUAUGGAAGACUUGAUAUCUAUAUGUGAUUUAAUAUUAACAUCAAGUUUGUAUCAUGUUUGGUCCUUGCAUCUGAUAAUAUAAACCAAAACUCCUCCAGAACUCUGUUCUUUUCUUUUAAGUUAUACAAGUAUAUUAACUAGGGCAUCAAAAAAUCAAACUUAGUAAUCAACUUUGAGCAUAUAAUUAAUAUUAUCAAAAAUCUCUAGACAUUUCUGAUUUUCUUUUUAGUAAAGAAUCUUGUCGGAUAUUCAAAGGGGGAUUUUAGAGGGGAGGUAAGGGCUUUUUCUUU